rnacentral:lncRNA from 1 species
ACCAGAUAACUCAUUGCUAUGCAAGUGAAGCCCUUCAAGCUCGGGAAGAUGUUGACACAUAUCAUUAGGCAAACUACCUAAUAGGCUAUUCCUGGAGAGAGCAAUAGUCUUGAGAGAAAAAUGUUGAAGAUCGAAGUCGGAAUCUGAUCUGUAAGGCCUUUAAUUGCUUGAAUAUUAAGCAUUUCCAAACUAAAAAGAUUACCGAUUUCUUCAGGAAUUUGACCUGCAGACAUAGUCGAAACAUCAAGGUGUUAAAUUUCCUAUUUUGUUAGUGUAAAUCAAAGAGGCUUUUUAUUUUUUUUCGUUAUGAAAUAAUAUGGAUAUGUUCGAUUCUAAUCAUAUUUAAGUAUAUAUUAGUUCUUGAAAGAAUGAGUUCUUAUUUUUGGUAUUUAUAUUGCAAAUAUAUAUUUUUUUAAAUUUAAAAGAAGGGAGGGGGCAAAUGUGUUUAAACUAAAGACAUCAAGGAAAAGGCAUACCAAGUAUAAUUGUUUAAGUUGUGUCAAAUUCCCAAUGCUUUUUGGAAUGAUCCCACUAAAUUGAUUAAUAGACAAUUCCAAAAUUUGAAGGUUGCAGCAUUUGUCUAUACUUGAUGGAAUAGAACUUGAUAAUUCAUUUCUACUCAAGUAAAGCUCUUUCAGCUUGGGAAGAUGGACACACAAAUCAUCGGGCAAGCCACCAGAAAGACUAUUAUCACAAAAAUGAAUCCUUUUCAAAGAAGAAAUGUUAAAGAUGGAAGAUGGAACCUGGCCAGAUAAUUGAUUGAAUCCCAAGUUCAAGAUCUCUAGAUUGGACAAGUUGACAAGUGUUUGAGGGAUCGUGCCUGUGAAGUUAUUAUUUCUCAUUUCCAACCUUUGAACUCUGUGCAAGUUCCCAAGCCAUGGUGGAAUUUCCCCAUUAAGACGGUUGUAGCUUAAUCGAAUGAUCCUCAAACGAUGCAAUUGGCCUAAUUCUUUAGCCAGAUGGCCGUAGAAAUUGUUGUUGCUCAAGUCGAUAGAAAAUAGAAAUGAAAGAUUUCCAAGGUGUGGAGGGAUAGUACCCCUAAGAUUCAUGUUUGUAAGAUUAAUCAAAGCUACAACUCUUUCAUGGAUGAUGCCACAAGAAACACCAACCCACUUACAGACAGAGGUAGAGUUCGUCCAAUUGUUUGCCAACACAUUUUGAGGAUCGACAAUGCGAUCUUUAAACUCAAAGAGUGCAAACUGAUCGGAGUUGAGAUUCCGGACUGUCAUAGCCAAGGAAACAAUAGAACAUUGUAUGAAUAAAAGUGAAAGAAGAUGAAAGCAAGUGUUGUAGUUCAUGAUGGCAAGACGAAAUAAGCCAGGAAAAGGGAAGUUGAAUUGAUGAAGAAAUAGCCAGCCAACAUGCUUAAAUAGGCUUCAACCCUUGCACACUUCUCAUACAUAAAGUUCGCUGCCAUUACAACAAGAAAACUCAUAUCUCCAUUCGUACCUAUCCAUACUUUAUUUGACUAACUUUUCCCUAACAAGUGUUCAGUAAGGAGAUAAAUCAGUUUGGAGCUAUUCACCGGCUUCUCCAAUCUUGGUUUCAAACUCCUAACCCAUCAAUUCACUUUAAUUGAAACGAUAUACACGAGUCUUUCGGCUUAUAUUUUUAAUUUAAUUUUUGUUACUUUUCAUAAUAUUUUUUGAGAAAUCCAAAUAUUCCAGUCUGAAAUUUCUUCAUUGCCACGUCUAUCUCCUGGGUAAGUCCGUGGUUAGGCAGCCCACUUUGGGAGCAGGAUUGUAAUUGUAAUUCUAUCCGACUCAUUUUACUAUUUAGAAAUAUAAAAGUAAUAUUAUAUUAUUUUUUAUAUUUUUAUAAAUUUAAUUUUAAUUAUAAUUUUUAAACAAUAAAACGAGUCAUUUGUAUUUGCCUAGUCUAAAUUGAAUCAGGAGUCAAAAAAAUUUUAAUCAUAAUUUACUAUUAUUUUAAUUAAUUAAAAUUUAACCUACUACAACUAGUAGUUGCAGAAAAAAUGUCAUUCCUUUAGAAAAACGAAAAUCCUUUAGAAAAAUGAGAACUUAUGAAGCAUUCAAUAAGAGUCAUUGGAAUAAAUGGUAACGAAAUCAUAAUUCAAUAUAAAGCUAAAAAAUGUACCAAUCUAUAUAAAUAAUGUAAGAUUUGUGAUACCUAAAUUAUUAUAUUUUCCAUAAAUAUAUGAAGAUAUUUUAUUAGGAAAUAAUUUUAUAUAUAAAAUUUUUUAUUUUCUUUUGAUAGAAAUUUAAUUAUGUUAUCUGUAGAAAAAAAUAUUUAUAGAAAUAUUAUUAGUAGAAAAUCAUAAAUUUGUGUGUGGCAAAAAAAAUUCACCACCAAGAAAGGGGCAAAUUAAACAACUUGAAACAAGUCAUUGGUUGUUUAAAAUAUUAGAUAAUAAUUUCAGUGAAGAAUCAUUAAAAUUAUGACAAAAUAACCCUAGAUAUUGUAGUAUUAAAUUGGAAAAUCUCAAUAAUAUUAUUAGAGUAAAACCUAUGAUCUAUCUAAACAAGAUAUAGAAGAUUUUGAUAUACAAAUUAAGGUUAGAAAUCAUGCGGAAAUAAAAAAGAAAAAAAAGCUAGUAUGGUCAUUAAUUAUAAAAGAUUAAAUCAAAAUAUUAUUUUUUUAUAGUUACUUGAAUUAAUCAGGCUAAACAAACAAAAUAUUUUAGUAAAUUUGACUGCAAAUCAGGAUUCUAGCAAAUCAUGAUAACAGAAAAGUCCAAACCUUUAACGGCUUUUAGUGCACCCAAUGGACAUUACCAAUGGAAAGUGAUGUCAUUUCAAUUAUGUGAUGCACCACAAAUCUUCCAAAGACGAAUGGAUUUUAUAUUUAAUAAAUAUAAAAAAAUUCUAUGUAGUCUACAUAGAUGAUAUUUUUUAUAUUUUUAGAUACACUAGAAUUACAUAAGAAACAUUUAAAUAUUAUUUCUUAAGAAUUCAUAAAAUAUAGAAUCAUAUUAAACCCUAAAAAUAUAGAGUUAGAAAAAAGAGAGAGAAUUUUUAUAAUAGUGGAAAUAAAAAAUUGUCCUCAAAAGAUUGAAGAAAAAAAGAACUUCCAACAAUUUCUAAUAUAUUCCUCCCAAAUUUUCAGUUUCAAUUUUAUUACAGAAUUUCUUUGCCGACAAUAAGAAAUUAAGAGCGCUCUUUAAGUUGAAUAUAGUCCGUCAGAUAUGGCUAUCUAUAACAUGGAACCUUUGGUUUUCAAGCUGAAUAGGAGAAUUGAUUCACUUGAUAAGUAUGAAAAAUUGAAACUGCUAAAUUUAAGUGCACUAACUCUGGAUAUCAUCAUUAUUUUUCUGUACAUUAAAGUACCUGUUUGAUAUGCGAUUUCUGCCUCAAACUAUCAACAUCUUUAACAUCCUUUUGCUAUAGUUAGCAUGGGUACUUCCUUUUAGAUUAACAGUUAGGUUUGAACUGUGAAUUAGAUUUCUGUGGCUGCUGGGAUUGAAGAAGUUAGUAUGCGAAUGACAUUGGACAAAUUUGGCAAAGUCUUCUCCAUCAGUGAAGAAAACCCCUUGGCGUAUGAAAAAUGUUCACCAUCUUAGACAUUUGUUUUCUUAUUGUAAGAAUAUUUUUAACAUUGUAACUUUUAACAUUAUUGUAAGAAUAUUUUGAAUUAUACUUCAGUUAUCAAUUUAUAUCAUAUAUCUUUUGUUGAAUUUGAAGUAUAAUUUAUAUUUGCUGUUUUUGGUUAGAUUUCAUGCUAUAGGAAGGGUUGUAUAUGGAUAGAAAUUGAAUGUUACAAAUCUGCCAAAGUUAGUGGCGUUUUUUCAUAAGAGCUGCUAAAGAAUGCUAUUUUUGGCGGUGUUUGUAAUAAAAGAGCCGCUAAAGGUCAUGUUCUUUAGCGAUGUUUGUGGGUAAAGCGCCGCUAAAGAUCAUGUUCUGUAGCGGUGUUUGUGGAUAAAGCGCCGCUAAAGAACAUGACCUUUAGCAGCGUAUUUUCACAUAAACGCCGCAAAAUUUAGCGGCUUUGUCUAUAGCGACUUUUUUUGCAGCGCUUUAAGUUUUAGCGGCGCUUUUAGGCCUAAAAAAGGGCCGCUAAAAGCCUGUUUUGCUGUAGUGAGCAUAUUUACAUUUUCGUCCCAAUUUCAACUAACACCCCAUCUAUUUCCCACUUCCCUUUUUCGGGCAAUUUCAACUAACACCUUCAUAUCAAACAUAACUAUUUUUCAAUUUUUCUUCUUUAUUUCAUUAAUAAAAUUAUCAAUCUAUUUGUUUUUAAAUAUAUAAUUUCAUUAAUAUUUUUUAAAUUAUAAUAUAAGAGUUGUUGUUUAUUUAUAGUUUUAUUACAUUAUUUACUCUCUCUUUUCUAUCAAGUUUUUUAAAUUAUAAUAUAAGAUUUAUUUUAUCAAUUUGUGGCUUAUCCAGUAUUCAUCUAUUUUAAUAAUAACUUGAGUUCCAGUCAUUAUCAUACCAGAAAGAGUUCCAUUUAUUCUUUAUCGUAAAUUUUAUAAAAAAAUAUACAUUUUAUUAUAAUACUAUAUGUGUUACGAAUAAUAUUUUAUUGUGGAUGCCCAUAAUUUUCAAAGUUGUAACCUCUAAUGUAGUAACCUUAAUGAAAUUAUGAGGCUUUUAUAUUGUAAUCAAGCCUCUAUUUAUUCUUUGUAACUUAAACAGAAGCAUAUUUUCUAUUAUAUUGAUAUUUUUUAUAGAUAUAUAUAUAUAUAUAAGGAAUCAAAUAAAAAGUUAUUUACCUUUCUAUUAUAUUGAUAUUUUCUAUUUGAUUUGUUCUUUUCUUUCACUAUUCCAUAAUAUAUUAUCAGUACGAUUUUAACCAAGAGUAACAUGUUAUUAGAUUGUGUCAAAAUUUUGUUGAGAAUCAUUAGAUUGUUUCCUUUUUCUUCUAUUUAGCCCCAAAUUGCACCCCUACACAAAAUUCAACAAAAACAUGGAAAAAUUAGUGGUGCACUCUCAUAAAUUAACCAAUUUAAUUACAUAAAAUAUGUAACUUUAGCAUUUUAUCAAUCAUGUUCUUUAGCGGCAUUUGUGGGUAAAGCGCCGCUAAAGGUCAUAUUCUUUAGCAGCGUUUGUGAUAAAAGUGCCACUAAAUAUCAUGUUCUUUAGCGGCGUUUGUGGAUAAAGCGCCGCUAAAGAACAUGACGUUUAGCAGCAUUUUUUUACAUAAACGUUGUAAAAUUUAGCGGCGUUGUCUAUAGCGACGUUUUUUGCGGUGCUUUCAAAUAGUUUUAGCGGCGCUUGUAGGCCUAAAAAAAUGCCGCUAAAAGUCUGUUUUGCUGUAUGAGCAUAUUUACAUUUUCGUCCCAAUUUCAACUAACACCCCAUCUAUUUCCCACUUCCCUUUUUCGGCCAAUUUCAACUAACACCUUCAUUUCAAACGUAAUUGUUUUUCGAUUUUUCCUCUUUAUUUCAUUAAUAAAAUUAUCAAUCUAUUUGUAUUUUAAAUAUAUAAUUUUAUUAAUAUUUUUUAAUUAUAAUAUAAGAGUUUUUGUUUAUUUAUAGUUUUAUUAUAUUAUUUACUCUCUUUUUUCUAUCAAGCUUUUUAAAUUAUAAUAUAAGAUUUAUUUUAUCAAAUGGUGGCUUAUCGAGUAUUCAUCUAUUUUAAUAAUAACUUGAGUUCCAAUCAUUAUCAUACCAGAAAGAGUUCCAUUUAUUCUUUAUCGUAAAUUUUAUAAAAAAAUAUAUAUUUUAUUAUAAUACUAUAUGUGUUAGGAAUAAUAUUUUAUUGUGGAUGCCCAUAAUUUUCAAAGUUGUAACCUCUAAUGUAGUAACCUCAAUGAAAUUAUGAGGCUUUUAUAUUGUAAUCAAGCCUCUAUUUAUUCUUUGUAACUUAAACAGAAGCAUAUUUUCUAUUAUAUUGAUAUUUUUUUAUAGAGAUAUAUACAUAAGGAAUCAAAUAAAAAGUUAUUUACCUUUCUAUUAUAUUGAUAUUUUCUAUUUGAUUUGUUCUUUUCUUUCACUAUUCCAUAAUAUAUUAUCAGUACGAUUUUAAUCAAGAGUAACAUUUUAUUAGAUUGUGUCAAAAUUUUGUUGGACUUCAAGUAUUGGAAUUUAAUUGUUUAAGUUAAGAAUCAUUAGAAUCAAUGGCUAUUUGAGAUAUGCUUGAGGAUGAUCUCAUUCUCUUCAUCACAAAGGUGGAGGUUAGAAAAUCUUUAUGUUUAAACAUUUAUAGCUUUAAAGUUAUUUUAACCUCUUAUUGUGACCUUAUAAUAUUUUGUAAUUUUUUGUAUUAUGGUAUAUAAAAAAAAUCUAACCAUAGUGAUUGAUUAGUAAUAUGAAUUUGUUAUUUGUUAUGUUUAAUAUAUAUUUUAUUUAUACUUAUUCAUUUUAUUUUUAUAUGAGUAAAUGAAGUGUUUGAAGAUUCGAAAUUUUUAUCAUCCAAGUUGAAAAUAAGUGCAAAAGUGUACAUUAUUUAAAAUAAAUUACGCAUUCAUUAAUGUUAUAUGAUAAAAUCAUUACAUGUUCUAAAGAACUAAUAUUGCAUCAAACUGUAAAAAGCUCUUGAAGAGUUAAUAUUUUACCUCCUUGUGAUACAAAAUCAUAUACAAUAUGAUAUUAUUUUUCAAAUCGAGUAGAUAUAUGUUGAGGGAAAUCUUUAUGUGGUUUACAUUAAAACCAUGGAUAGAAAUGACAUGAGAUACUCGUGUAUUUUUAUUAUAAAUAUUCCUUGAAGGAAGACACUUCACUUGUAUGAUUGACAUAUGAGAUAGUGGCAAGAAGUUCAUAGUGUUGGUAUGGUCGUCUAGAUCAUCUCAAAUCAAUAAUGAUGCAAAAUAAUUUGAAGAGAAUUUAUAUGAUUUUAUUGAAGAAUGAGAAGAUAUUUUCAUUUUGAUAAUUGUCAUCAAUACUAGUUCUUUGGAAAAAAAAUAUUGAACUAACAUAAAGUUAGAGGUUGGUUGCAUUUUUUGAUGAUAUCCAAAUAAUAUAUGAGCUCAUGUAUCACAUGUAUGCAACCCAAAGUUUACAGUAUUAUUUCUUGAAAUAAUUUGAUUCUACACAAUCUCUAUAGUAUGCAAUUUGUGCUAACAACGUUGGUGCAUUAUAUCCUAAGCUUGAUUUUCGUAGUUUUAGCUGAGAUAAUAUUAAGUUGUCUAUGCCUAUAUAUGUUAUACUUAAUGGUUAGCAAAAUUGUGCCUCCAUUUAAUUGCUUAACCAUUAAUAUAAGAAUAACUUUAAAAUAAGCAUGUAAUUUUAUUUGCAUAGAGUCAACAUGUAAGAAACAUUUGCCCCAUGAGAAUUGGCUUUCAUUUAUAAGCCAAUAGGUUUCAUAUGACUAUUUGGAUGUAAAAUAUCUAUUUUAUAUUCCACCAUAAUGCACUAAGAUGGUCCAUCAAGUAUGAAGUUGAGAAAAUUUAGAAUUUUUAUUUGAUGGUAAAAGUUGAAAAGAGAUAUAUACUUAUAAUUUUGAAAAAAAUAGUCAUGUUGCAAAUUUUUCUCAAUAUUAGGGGGAGACAAGUUGGACAAAUAAGGAUAAUUAUGUCAUCACUUUUUGUGAUCCCUCACUAAUAUUAUGUGCACAAAGUUUGAAGGAAAAAAGUAUUUGCUAGACAUGUUUAGUGAUGACACUUAGAGAUUGUAUAUACUAGAUGAUACAUAUACCAGCUAAAAUGUUCCAAAUAAUUAUGAGUCCUAGAAGGACAUAGUGAUAAAAAUAAUUUUUGGGCACGCUAGAAGGAUAAAAAACUAGUUCAUUCUAUAAAUCAAAAAAUUCUUGAAAGAAAAGAGUAAGAAAUGAAGCUGGCCACACAUUAAAGGAAACGAGUACUCAUGAAGAGACCUAAGGCAUAACUUUUAAUAAAACCCCAAAAGAGGUUCAAUACAUGGAAUUAUGAAUAUAAUAAGAUAUCUCGAUUAGUUAUAUCAUAACUAAAGAUGAUGGGGUUGAUAAAAGGAAAUUGUUGUUAACAACGAUAAUCUAAGUAGAACAUUUCAAUAUUAUGGUAAAAUGAGUAUUUUGAAUGAAAAUAUACUUGAAAGUAUUUAGAUGGGAACAACUCAUCAAAAUAAAUAGACGUUUCUAUUAUAACUUAUGAAAUGUGUCUCGGACAUGAAGUCCAAACAUUCGACAGGUGUAAAGCCAAGUGGAGUAUAUGUUAGCAUAAUAGUGAAAAAAUACAAAUCAUAAUAUAUAAAAUUGACUUGUAAGACAAACUUUCCCAAGACACUUGAUUUUGAUUAUGAAAAAUGAUUAAUUUGUGAUCUUAUCAAUUGAACAUACUUUGUAUAAUCAACAAAUUAUUAAUUAACCUCAUUUAACCAAUUUCCUUCAACACAUUUCAAAUCAAAUUAAUGUGUUGAGCACGCCCUUAACCCUUUUUCUUGAUUCAUUGCAUAGUCUAUUUCCAAGUACCAUAAUCAUCAACAUUUCAAUAUAUAAAGUCAUAACAUAAUGAAUCAUAGUUAGAAUUUUUUUUACCCUAUUAACCAAGUAUGGAACAAAAAUAAAAACCUAAUUUGUCAAGCUCAUUCAAUCAGCUUAUAUAUUAUAAGAAGAGCCUAAGUAUAAAUCCUAUACAUGAUUUCAAAUUCAACUAUUUAUAUUUGAGAUUCAAUUUAAAAUUCAUACUGAAAUUAUCAAAUUAACUCGUAAGCUACUCACGCUAAACAUUAAGGUACUCGAAUUCAAGUGGCUAGAUAUCAUAAACACUUUUAGCUUGUAAAACUAUUUCUAAGGGUCAGCCCAGAAUCAUGGUUGAACCCAAAAUCUGGUAACAAAAAUUUAAUUGAGCCAUCAGCCUAAAACAAAUAAGGCUUAAAAGGUUGGCACCCGAACAAUCAAAGAUAAACACCACCAUAUGCCACUCCCUGAAUCCGAUACAUACAAUAACACCCUUCACCACUUUUAUUCUUCUCCUUUUUUUUAACCUCAAUUUGGAUGGUCGCAUUUCUCUUUUUAGUGCUUUAUAGGGUUUGGGCUUUCAGAAUCCUCAGAGAUGCAAUUCAUGGAUCCCUCUAAGAAAUGCAAGCUUGAUGAAAAUGGUAUUAUUUCAACGGCAUCAGAACCUGACCCAAUCACCAAACUAACCCCACAAGAUGGCCGCAAGCUAAUCGAGCAAUUUAUCGUCGAUCAACUCCUUGACGUCCUCCAAGAUGCUGUUUGUUGUCACCUUGAUGUUCUUUCCGCCGUACACUCUAUUGCCGAUCAAGAUCCAUCUCAAAGGAAGCUUUUCAUCCGUGGUUGGGUUGGGAUACUACAACCCAACCCAACCCACAUUAGCAUACUACCAUGCGGUAACUUCUAGUGAUUUCUGUCUGUAACAUUAGACAGGUUAACAGUUAAAUCGUUCAACUGAAAGAUUUCUUUGAAGGAAGAGGUCAAUUGAUUUUUUUUGGAAUCAUUGUGUACUCAGUUGCAUUUAAGACGGGUAUCAUUCAUAAAGUAUAUAUCUACAUCAAGAAUGGUAGCCUCUUAUAUUAUAUUCAUGUAUUUAUUUUGCAUCUUUAAUUAUAAUAGGAUUUUUUUUGUUUAUUUAUAGUUUUAAUUAUAAUAUUUUUUAAAUAUGCCAAAGUAAAUUAUGUACCAAUUUUAAACUUCUCCUAGGUAAUUUAACGUAAGGGCAUUUAUGUUAUUUUACCACUUAUGAUAAAACUAACCUAAUUUUAGAUCUAAGUGUUUACCAACCUUCUUUUAGUCAAAUUAUGCAAGCCUAAAAUUUUUAGCUUAAUUUGAGUUUGUUUACUAUGUCUAAUUCAAGUUUUAUUAUUAAGAACUAAAUUGUAACUUAAACAAAUUAGAAUACCAAUUUAAAGAGACAAAAAUUCAAAGCCCCAAAACCCACACGGGCAUGUGGGUAAGUGACACAGGCGUGUGGAAACUGGAGCUAUCACACACGGGUGAGUGGGACUGAAAAAUAUGAAAUAAAUUAAUCCAUUUAAAUUUCCAACAACCAUGCUAUACUACCAAACCAAAUAAUGUUAGAAGCUUUGAAUAGGGGCGAAUCUUAAAAAAAAAUAGAAGAAUUAGAAUUAAAUUAUAAAAUUUUGAGAAGUUGUCAUGUAUUAAUUUAUUAUUUUUUAAAGGGUCUUAAUAGAUUUUUUUUCCCCAUUUUGGUUUGGCCAAUACCCCUGUCUGCCUCUUUCAAUUUGCUUCAACCCUUAGCCCAAUAUUCGAUUUGUUGUGGAAGUUUGACGCAUAAAAAUUCCUUUUUUAGAGGUUUAAAUUAUAAAUUUUUAUUAACAAAAUAUAAAAGAAAAAAACAUGUGUAGACAAGCCAAGAAACCUUUGGGAUCAUACAGGUGAUUUUGAGAUGUUCAUGGUUAUUUUGGUGGAGAGGGUAAAAAAGAAACAAAUGAUUCAUUAUAUAUGAUAUAAUUAUGAAAUUCAAGCCAUAUAUUGUAUGUUUCAUCCAUACAAAUUUCUUGUAGCAUUAAAUGACUCGUAGGCUUGCUGAAUUUCUUUGAAAGGCCCAAAGGCAAUUUAACAUUCACAAAAUAAUCUCUAAAUAGUGUAAAGACAAAUCAAAUCCACAGUAGCAUUAGAGUUGAUUAAGCUAAGCAUUGGCAAAUAUUACUUUGAUUUUGCAUGCAAUAUUGGCAAAACCCCCUCUUACAUUAGAAAAACAACAUAAUCCAUGAAACAUUGAUAGCCCAAUACAAAUUUCAUCGAGAAAAAAGUCUCUUUGUUUUGUAGAACAUGAUAGUAAAGAUGUGGAGUUUCGUUCUUCUUAUUGGCCUCCUUUAGUUUUCCUUGAUCAACAACCACUAGCCAAAAACACAAUUAGAUUAGAUUAUGAAUGAUACUUUCAACUAUGACAAUAUUAAAUACAAACCACUCUAAAUAACUCUAAAUAAAUGGAAAGCAGCAAAUUACCAGACGAGGCAAGCUAGCUCAAUUAAGACCAUUGUGUUAUACUUGUCUCUGAAUUGAAAAAUUUAGAAGGAAAUAAAGAGAAAGACUUAGAAAAUACUUGAAAACAGAAAAAAAAAUUAUGUCAUUUAAAAUAAAAAAUUUCUAUUCAAGCCAUUUAAAAUUUGUAAGAUUUUUAAAAUUUUAAAAUGAUAAAGGUAAAAUUGUACUUUGGCACCCCAAAAAUGAUAAAACUUUGAUUUAAUUAUUUAAAAAUUAUAAAAAUAUAGGCUAUUAAAAUGGUGAAAUUAUAUUUUUACUAUAGUAAAAAUUACAAUUUAAUUUCACCCCUAAAAGGAUUUUCUGGCUUCGCACCUAAUAAAAUCUUUGGCAAAAGACUAAAAUAAAAUUAUACCAUGAAUGGAAAAAGAAACUAAUAAAAUCCAAUCUAACAAAGAAAAUAACUUGAUGUCCAAAAGCUACCAUAAACCGUAAUUCAUGGGAAGGCUUGUUGCUUAUUUUAUUGGUUUCCAUUUUGAAAGAAGUUUGAAUUUUGAAGAGAGCCUACUACGUGAAAGCAAAAGAAAAAAAAAUAGUUUAUAUGAUUAAAAUUCCAGAAUAGAUUAAAAAUGUUGAAUUAAAGAUAAAAUUAAGUGUGAAUUAAUAACCACAAGUGUACUCUUUACUCACCAUCUCUGUUAAAAAUGUUGGAUGUUGUUUAGCAACCUUUGUUUGAUUUUCUUCAGCUCAACCACAACAUCUUUCAUAUCUUUUCUUUCUUCUGGUAACUCAGCUGAACAAUUCAAAGCCAACUCCAUGAUAGAUGAAAUACAAUUUGCUUUAACAACAAUGUACUCAUCCUCUCUUCUUAAUAAAUCAACAUCUGCAAUUUCUAUCGCUCCUUUAGGCAAUGAUCUUUCCAUCCAAUGCCUUAUACUCUCUUCUUCAACAAAAACCUUAUCAGUUGGCUUUUUCUUUGUGAAAGUUUCUAUAAGGACGAUCCCAUAACUAUAGACGUCAGAUUUUAUAGAAACAAUUCCUGCUGAUCCAAAUUCUGCAUUUCAAGUAUAAUUAGAACAUCAUUCAUCCUCAAUUAUUUCUAAAACGCUUAUUCAAAUAUCUAUCCACAUACACGUGAAACAAAAAUAUAAAAUACAAAUUAGGAAAAUAAUCAUACAAAAAUAAAAAAAAGAAUUCACCUGGUGCCAUAUACCCAAUAGUUGCAAGAGUCAUGGUUUGCUUCAUUACUUCACCUUCUCCCAACAAUUUGGCAACGCCAAAAUCUCCAACAUGUGCAACCAUGUCUUCAUCUAGUAAAAUAUUGCUUGGUUUUAUGUCACAAUGAAUUAUAGGUGUUGGAUGUCCAUUGUGGAGGUGUUCUAUAGCUACCGCAACAUCUAUCAUUAUGUCGACCCUUUGUAUGAUACCAAGGAAACAAUUUUCAGAAUGUAACCAUUUCUCAAGGUUUCCAUUAGACAUGUAAUCAAGCACCAAGGCUUUGAAGUCAACACUUGAGCAGUAAGUAAUGACCUUCACAAUAUUACGAUGAACUAUAUUAAGCAUAGCAUCACAUUCAAUGUCAAAACUCCUAAAUGCUCCCUCUGUUUGCAAAUUGAAAACUUUUAUUGCAACUUCCAUUCCAUCUGAAAGCCUCCCUUUAUAUACAUAUCCAAAACUCCCUGAACCAAGCGUAUUGCUUUCCUCAAAUCCAUUAGUUGCUCGUGAAAGUUCAGCAUGUGAAAUUCUUCUCAGUGUCUUCAAAGACAACAAAUCAUCUUUAACUGGUAGAGCUGUACUCCUUUGGCAUCUUCUAUACAUAAUAGUUAAGACUAUUAGUACUAGGACAAUACCAAUUGUUGGUAAACCAUACCUAAAAGCAUGCAAUAUAAUCAUUUGGGAGUUUUUGUGGAUGUCAUUUUUGCAAGGUGGGACUAGCAAUCUAGGUGGACCACAAAGUGCACAAUUAUUCAUGAAUGAUGUGCUAGAAAAGUUUGAAAAACAUCCUUUGCUGGGAAUUUCCCCUUCAAGUCUAUUGAAAGACACAUUAAAAUACUUUAGAUAUAAAAGCUUUUCCAAAGAUUUGGGAAUGACUCCAGAGAGAUUGUUAUUGCAUAAAUCCAAGAAUUCCAAACUAAUCAACCCUUCAAAUGAUUCAGGGAUAUGACCAUAUAGUAUGUUAUUUGAUAAAUCUAAUGAAACCAAAGUUAUAAGACCCCCAAAUGUGGAUAAGAUAUCGCUCGUGAGAAGAUUCCUUGAUAAAUUUAGUCUCAGUAGACUCCUAAAAUUUCCAACAUCAAUAGCAUGUGAAUUGUGAAGACGGUUUGAUGAUAAAUCUAUUUCUAAGAUAUCUUUAAGACUCCACAAAGUUGAGGGUAUUGUAGAACUCAAUUUGUUGGAACCUAACCAAAGAUAUCUCAAAGCAGAAAUAUUACCUAAACAAGAGGGUAUGGAUCCAUGCAGCUUAUUCAACCCUAAAUACAUCUCGUAUAGUCUCUCCAAACCACAAAGGCUUUCUGGGAUAGGCCCUCCUAAUUUAUUAGAGGAAAGACCUAGAAUUUGGAGAUUUCUCAUUCCUCCUAUUGAUGCUGGAAUCAAUCCACUUAAUUUAUUAUACCCAAGAUCUAAAAGCAAUAGGUUGGUUAAGUUACCUAUUUCCAUAGGAAUAAUGCCUUGAAGCUCACACUCUGUGGCAUGAAAGUAUUGAAGGGAUUUUGAAAGGUUCCCGAAAUAAGUAGGAAGAACGCCACUCAAUGGAUUUCCUGAAACAUCUAUUAUGCUCAAAUUCCUACAAUUCGUCAAAGAAGAAAGAAAGCUCCACUCAUGAUCAGUAGCAGAUCCUGUGAUCAAAUUAUUGUCAUAGAUUUGGAGCCAUACAAGUUGUCUUAAGCUGCCAAGCGUUUUAGGGAUUGGGCCAGAGAAUGAGUUAUCUCCCAAGUCUAGUUCCUUAAGCAUGGAAGCAUUGGAGAUAGAGUUGGGAAUGUUUCCGCUAAGUUUAUUUCCCCACAGUAAAAGAAUCUGAAGCUUUGGAGCAUUGGUAAUGGGUGGUAAAUUACCUGUAAAAUAGCAUCUUUUAGAAAACAUUCACAAAAUAUAUAAUACAUUAAAAUAAAAACUUUAAAUCAAUUAAGAAUAAAAUUUUGGCAUGGAAAAAUGUGAUGAAAUCAAUUAGAAAGUUGAGACAUAAUAAGAAGUUUUGAGUAGUAAUUAGUCCUUGUGAUUUGUAUAGACAAAACAUAUAAUACACUGAUAAUUUUUUUAAAAUAUUGUAAAACCUGAAAUAAAAUAAAAAAUAAAAGUUUGGCACGAGAAUGUGGCAUCUAAUCAUUCUUAAAAAUAAGACUAACAUUAAAUAAUAAUUAGUUAUGAUUUGAGAAACAAAAAUGUUAAAGAUGUAAACUGGUAUGAUUUUUAUCUAUUGGGUUAAUUAUUUAUUUUUAUUAAAUUAUAUAUAGUGUAAAAUUUAAAGAUUAUUAUUUGCUCAAAAUUUUUGUAUUUUAGGAUUUUAGGAUCGCAUUUAAUUCAAUUGUAUUUAAGACCUCAUGAAUUUAUUCUAUAAUUUGAGUCUUUUCAACCUUUUGGGAAAUAAUAAAACAUCGACAUUAAACUUGUUGUUGAUGCAUUCAAUUUGAUUUUUUGAGGGGUCAUUGGAGUUAUAUGUGAAUUUAGCAUUGAUUGACUUUUUUAGAAUUAAUCUUUUAUACCAAUUUAAUAACAUCGACAUGUUUUUGGGUAGGGUCGAGCAAAACCCAAUUAAAACCGAUGAAAUUGGUUUAGUUAACUCGGUCAAGUCCAUUAGAUGGAUAAAAUCAAUUUUAAAAUCAGUUAUUAUGGAUUAAGGUAAUUAAUUAUCGAGUAAUGAAAUACAUAAUCAAAUCAAUUGAUUUUGUUAGAAACUAAAAGAAAGUGGGAUAAGCUGAAAACUGAUUGCCCUUUUUUAGAAUUAAGGAAUCAGCCUUUUACAUGUUAGAUAAUAUGAACACCCCAUAUAUAAUAAGAAAAAUUAUGUACGAUUAUUUAUUAUCAUAAAUGGUUAGUUUAAAUUUAAAGUAAUCUAAUAUGUGUGUUGAACUUCAACUAUUACAUAAAGUAUAAGCUAAAUAUGUAUAAAUAUUCUAGAAACCAUUUCUAACUGAUGAUAGGCUAAUUUGAAAUUAAGAUUAAUAUAUAAAAACUAGAUAGUAGGGUUAUAGUCCUCAAACUACACCUAAUUUAAUAAAAUCUAUAGUUUUUAUAGCCUUAAACAUUUAUAGAUUUUGUUAAUUUGGUCCUUACUCUUUAAAAUUACAUAAAAAUUGCAAAAAUAUUUUAGAAAUACAAUUUUUUCGUAUUUUUAAUAACAUUUAUAGUUUUUUUUUUGGUUUGGUAACUUAUCAACUCGACUCUUAAUUGUAACCAACUUUUCUGAUUUUUUCGUACCCUUAACCUAAGUCCCGUUACAACUUUCUAAAGACCUCUUGAUUGGUGUAUCAUCUCGAUUUGUUCUUAUAGUGGUGGGGAUUUGGUUUUCAAGCAAGCCUAUGCUAAUCACAUUUUUCGUUCAACUAUUGAGCACACAGUACUUGAACCUUAAACACUUUGAGUGCUUUGAGUGAAUCUUAGUUAGGGUAUUGAUUAUUGUUGAGUUUGAAUUUUAGGUAAUUAUUGAGAUGGAGGAGAUGCCUAUUUUUUUGUGCUUUACAAAUUUCUGCUUAGAUUGCUUUUAUUCUUUAGUUUCAUGCUAGUUUCAAUUUCCAGUGCAUGAUUAUCUAUAGAUUAUUCAUAAGGCAUUGUCGGUGAAAACAAUAAAUUGAGGGAGAUUAACUUGAAAUAAAUUGAGGGAUAUUAACUUGAAUAAAGGUUGAGAAUUUUGCUUAAGGACAAACAAAUGCUUAAGUGUGGGGAUAUUUGAUAAGUGCUAAAAUUGAUAUGUUUUAACAUCAUUCUUAAUGUGUUUUUGGUUGAUUAUUCGAUGUUAAUGAUGCUCCUAAUCCUUACAAUUCGUGUUUUUAUGCUUAAUAGAACAUUUGGGAGGAAAAUGAGCUAAAAAUGAACGAAAACCUGAAAAUGGGGGCAAACUAUAGGACAUGGGCUGACCUAUUCCUCAUGACCGUAUGACUCACACGAUCAUGUGGUAGGUUGUGUCGAUUUCGUAGAUUUGCACUCUGAACUGUAAAAAAAGAAAAUUUUAGAUUUUUUGAGCAUUUUAAUACGUAUAUAUGAAAAAAAUAAGAAGAUAGGAGAGAACCUUCCUAGAAUAUUUAAGAAAACAACUCCAAAGACACUAUUGAAGUCGACUCUGAAGCAAAUUUUCCUCAAGAUUGAAGAUUCCCAGUUGGUUUCUUAAGAGAUUAUCAUGAGUUUCUUUAUUUCUUCUGGUUAUACUGCCCUUUGGAUGUUUUUAUUUUUAAGCAUGAACUAAUUUUCUAAAUACCGAAUUAGAGAGAUGAACCCUAUGAUAGAUUGUGACACCCCAAACCCAACCGGAUAGACCCGCCCGAAUUCAAAGCAUUUCAUUAGCCACCUAAGUGACUCUCCAGCUAACGACCACCCAAGACACACCUCGACCUUAUAACACCUCAAUCUUAUCUAAUUACUAGUUAUUUAUUAAUGUAGAAGUAAAUUAAUAUGAGCCAAUUUUAAACUUUUUCUAGGUAAUUUAACCUAAAGGCAAUUUUGUCAUUUUACCACCUAAUGUAAAACUAACCCGAUUUUAGAUCUAAGUGUUUACUAACCUUCUUUUAGUCAAAUUAUACAAGCCUAAAAUUUUCAGCUUAAUUUGAGUCCGUUUACUAUGUCUAAUUCAAGUUUUAUUAAUAAGGACUCAAUUGUAACUUAAACAAAUUAAAAUACCAAUUUAAAGAGACAAAAAUUCAAAACUCCAAAACCCACACGGGCAUGUGGGUAAGUGACAAGGGCUUGUGGGAUUGAAAAAUAUGAAAUAAAUUAAUCCACUCAAUUUUCCAACAACCAUGCUAUACUACCAAACCAAAAAAACACUUGAAGUUUUGAAUAGGGGCGAAUCUAAAAAAAAUUAGAAGAAUUAGAAUUAAAUUAUAAAAUUUUGAGAAGUUAAAAUAUAAUUUUAUCAUGUAUUAAUUUAUUGUUUUUUAAAGGGUCCUAAUAUAAUUUUUUUCCCAUUUUGGUUGGGCCAAUACCCCUGCCUGCCUCUUUAAAUUUGCUCCAACACUAAACCCAAUAUUCGAUUUGGAUUAACAACAACAUAUAGGUUAGUAUUUGUGGGAGUUUGACGAAUAAAAAUUCCUUUUUUAGAUGUUUAAAUUAUAAAUUUUUGAAAGAUUAAAAUAAAUUUGUAUUUUUUUAUUAACAAAAUAUAAAAGAAAAAAAAAUAUGUUUAGACAAGCCAAGAGAACUUUGGGAUCAUACAGGUGAUUUUGAGAUGUUAAUGGUUAUUUUGGUGGACAGCGUAAAAAAGAAACAAAUGAUUCAUUAUAUAUAAUAUAAUUAUGAAUUUCAAGCCAUAUAUUGUAUGUUUCAUCCAUAAAAAUUUCAUGGGAGGUCCAAAGGUAAUUAAAUGACUUGUAGGCUUGCUGAAUUUCUUUGAAAGGCCCAAAGGCAAUUUAACAUUCACAAAAUAAUCUCUAAAUACUGUAAAGACAAAUCAAAUCCACAGUAGCAUUAGAGUUGAUUAAGCUAAGCAUUGGCAAAUAUUACUUUGAUUUUGCAUGCAAAAUUGGCAAAACCCCCUCUUACAUUAGAAAAACAACAUAAUCCAUGAAACAUUGAUGGCUCAAUACAAAUUUCAUCGAGAAAAAAGUCUCUUUGUUUUGGAGAACAUGAUAGUAAAGAUGUGGAGUUUCGUUCUUCUAAUUGGCCUCCUUUAGUUUUCCUUGAUCAACAACAAUUAGCCAAAAACACAGUUAGAUUAGAUUAUGAAUGAUACUUUCAACUAUGACAAUAUUAAAUACAAAACACUCUAAAUAAAUGGAAAGUAGCAAAUUAAGACCAUUGUGUUAUACUUGUCUCUGAAUUGAAAGAUUUAGAAGAAAAUAAAGAGAAAGAGUUAGAAAAUACUUGAAAACAGAUAAAACUUAUAUGUCAUUUAAAAUAAAAAAAAUUUCUAUUUAAGCCAUUUAAAAUUUUUAAGAUUUUUUAAAUUUUAAAAUGAUAAAGGUAAAACUAUAUUUUGGUACCCAAAAAUGAUAAAACUUUGAUUUAAUUCUUUAGAAAUUAUAAAAAUAUAGGCUAUUAAAAUGGUGAAAUUAUAUUUUUACUAUAUUAAAAAUUACAAUUUAAUUUCACUUGCUAAAAGGAUUUACUGGCUUCGCCCCUAAUAAAAUCUUUGGCAAAAGAUUAAAAUAAAAUUAUACCGUGAAUGGAAAAAGAAACUUAAGAAAACCCAAUCUCACAAAGAAAAUAACUUGUCCAAAAGCUACCAUAAACCGUAAUUCAUGCGAAGGCUUGUUGCUCAUUUUAUUGGUUUCCAUUUUGAUUUUGCAAAAGAAGUUUGAAUUUUGAAGAGAGCAAAAGAAAAAAAUAGUUUAUUAAUUUUUUACGAAUACCGACAUAUUAUAUACAUGAUUAAAAUUCCAGAAUAGAUUAAAAAUGUUGAAUUAAAGAUAAAAUUAAGUAUGAAUUAAGAACCACAAGUGUACUCAUUACUCACCAUCUCUGUUAAAAAUGUUGUUUAGCAACCUGUGUUUGAUUUUCUUCAGCUCAACCACAACAUCUUUCAUAUCUUUUCUUUCUUCUGGUAACUCAGCUGAACAAUUCAAAGCCAAUUCCAUGAUAGAUGAAAUACAAUUUGCUUUAACAACAAUGUACUCAUCCUCUCUUCUUAGUAAAUCAACAUCUGCAAUUUCUAUUGCUCCUUUAGGCAAUGAACUUUCCAUCCAAUGCCUUACAGUCUCUUCUUCAACAAAAACAUUAUCAGUUGGCUUUUUCUUUGUGAAAGUUUCUAUAAGGACGAUCCCAUAACUAUAGACGUCAGAUUUUAUAGAAACAAUUCCUGCUGAUCCAAAUUCUGCAUUUCAAGUAUCAUUAGAACAUCAUUCACCCUCAAUUAUUUCUAAAAUGCUUAUUCAAAUAUAUAUCCGCAUACACAAGAAACAAAAAUAUAAAAUGCAAAUUAGGAAAAUAAUCGUACAAAAACAAAAAAGAAUUCACCUGGUGCCAUAUACCCGAUAGUUGCAAGAGUCAUGGUUUGCUUCAUUACUUCACCUUCUCCCAACAAUUUGGCAACGCCAAAAUCUCCAACAUGUGCAACCAUGUCUUCAUCUAGUAAAAUAUUGCUUGGUUUUAUGUCACAAUGAAUUAUAGGUGUUGGAUGUCCAUUGUGGAGGUGUUCUAUAGCUACCGCAACAUCUAUCAUUAUGUCGACCCUUUGUAUGAUAUCAAGGAAACAAUUUUCAGAAUGUAACCAUUUCUCAAGGUUUCCAUUAGACAUGUAAUCAAGCACCAAGGCUUUGAAGUCAACACUUGAGCAGCAAGUAAUGACCUUCACAAUAUUACGAUGAACUAUAUUAAGCAUAACAUCACAUUCAAUGUCAAAACUCCUAAAUGCUCCCUCUGUUUGCAAAUUGAAAACUUUUAUUGCAACUUCCAUUCCAUCUGAAAGCCUCCCUUUAUAUACAUAUCCAAAACUCCCUGAACCAAGCAUAUUGCUUUCCUCAAAUCCAUUAGUUGCUCGUGAAAGUUCAGCAUGUGAAAUUCUUCUCGGUGUCUUCAAAGACAACAAAUCAUCUUUAACUGGUAGAGCUGUACUCCUUUGGCAUCUUCUAUACAUAAUAGUUAAGACUAUUAGUACUAGGACAAUACCAAUUGUUGGUAAACCAUACCUAAAAGCAUGUAAUAUAAUCAUUUGGGAGUUUUUGUGGAUGUCAUUUUUGCAAGGUGGGACUAGCAAUCUAGGUGGACCACAAAAUGCACAAUUAUUCAUGAAUGAUGUGCUAGAAAAGUUUGAAAAACAUCUUUUGCUGGGAAUUUCCCCUUCAAGUCUAUUGAAAGACACAUUAAAAUACUUUAGAUAUAAAAGCUUUUCCAAAGAUUUGGGAAUGACUCCAGAGAGAUUGUUAUUGCAUAAAUCCAAGAAUUCCAAACUAAUCAACCCAUCAAAUGAUUCAGGGAUAUGACCAUGUAGUAUAUUAUUUGAUAAAUCUAAUGAAACCAAAGUUUGAAGACCCCCAAAUGUGGAUAAGAUAUCGCCCAUGAGAAGAUUCCUUGAUAAAUUUAGUCUCAGUAGACUCCUAAAGUUUCCAACAUCAAUAGCAUGUGAAUUGUGAAGAUGGUUUGAUGAUAAAUCUAUUUCUAAGAUAUCUUUAAGAUUCCACAAAGUUGAGGGUAUUGUAGAACUCAAUUUGUUGGAAUCUAACCAAAGAUAUCUCAAAGCAGAAAUAUUACCCAAACAAGAGGGUAUGGGUCCAUGCAGCUUAUUCAACCCUAAAUACAUCUUGUAUAGUCUCUCCAAACCACAGAGGCUUUCUGGGAUAGGCCCUUCUAAUUUAUUAGAGGAAAGAUCUAGACCUUGCAGAUUCCGCAGUCCUCCUAUUGAUGCUGGAAUGAAUCCACUUAAUUUAUUAUGGUCAAGUUCUAAAACCAAUAAGUUGGUUAAGUUACCUAUUUCCAUAGGAAUAAUGCCUUGAAGCUCACAAUUAUAGGCAUGAAAGGAUUGAAGGGAUUUUGAAAGGUUCCCAAUAUAAGUAGGAAGAACGCCACUCAAUGGAUUUCCUGAAACACCUAUUUUUCUCAAAUUCCUACAAUUCGUCAAAGAAGAAAGAAAGCUCCACUCAUGAUCAGUAGCAGAUCCUGUGAUCAAAUUAUUGUCAGUGAUUUUGAGCACUUCAAGGUGUUUUAAGCUGCCAAGCAUUUUAGGGAUUGGGCCAGAGAAUGAGUUAUCUUCCAAGUCUAGUUUCUUAAGCAUGGAAGCAUUGGAGAUAGAGUAAGGAAUGUUUCCGCUAAGUUUAUUUCCCCACAGUAAAAGAAUCUGAAGCUUUGGAGCAUUGGUAAUGGGUGGUAAAUUACCUGUAAAAUAGCAUCUUUUAGAAAACAUAUUCAUUGAAUACCAAAUUCACAAAAUAUAUAAUACAUUAAAAUUAAAACUUUAAAACUUUAAAUCAAUUAAGAAUAAAAUUUUGGCAUGGAAAAUUGUGAUGAAAUCAAUUAGAAAGUUGAGACAUAAUAAGAAGUUUUGAGUAGUAAUUACUCAUGAUUUCCAUAGACAAAACAUAUAAUACACUGAUAAUUUUUUUAAAAAUAUUGUAAAACCUGAAAUAAAAUAAAAAAUAAAAGUUUGGCAUGAGAAUGUGGCAUCUAAUCAUUCUUAAAAAUAAGACUAACAUUGAAUAAUAAUUAGUUAUGAUUUGAGAAACAAAAAUGUUAAAGAUGUAAACUGGUAUGAUUUUUAUCUAUUGGGUUAAUUAUUUAUUUUUAUUAAAUUAUAUAUAGUGUAAAAUUUAAAGAUUAUUAUUUGCUCAAAAUUUUUGUAUUUUUCGUAUAUUUGAAAUUUAAUCUUUAUAUUUUUUAUUUUCUGUGAUUUAGUCUCUCUACUUUUUGAAUUGAAAAUUUUAAGUUUAUUUAUUAACACUGUUAAAAAGUUUUUGUGUUAGUAUGGCAUUUUGAAAAAUAAAAUAAACUUGAUAUCUAUGUUUUUAAUUAUUCCAAAUACUGUUUUACUAUUCCAAGAUAAAUUAUUUGUGUCUAGACCAAUAUCUUAAGAACUAUUGUUGCAUGUUUAAUUAUUCUAAAGAAUUGUUGAUUGAGUCUUAGUUGAAGUGCACUAUUCUCCUAUUUAUGAAUUGGGGAGUUGAUAAAGUACUAAAUUUUGAUAUAUUUUAAAAAAUUAAAAAUUUAUUAAAAUAUUUUUAUAAAAAUUAAUUGUACCAAAAUAUACAAUUUUAAUAUCAAAUUUUUAAUUUUUUUAAAAAUAUUAGCGAAUAUAUACUUUAUUUCAAGUUACACAAUUUUUACUAGUUUUUAACUUUUUUUUUAAAUUUUUAUCGUCUUUUAUAAUUUCAUAUAUUUUUUUAUAAUUUUUUACAAUAUUUACAAUUUCUAACAAUUUUUAAUAAUUUUAUUAUUUAUUAUAAAUUUAAAAAUUAACAAAUUUUUAUUUUUUUAAAACAAUUAUAUAUUUAUAAUGUAGUUAUUUUUUUAUAAUUUUUUUUGAAAUUUAAAGAUUUUUUUGGUUUUUUCUAGAUGAUGAUGCCAUCAUGAUGUCAUCAUAUGCCACAUGGCAAUUUAUAAUUAGUUGACUAUCUCAAUCUAUUUUUUUAACGUCCAAUGGACUAAAACAAGAACACCUGAUAAUGUUAGAGACUACACUAGGAAUGUUUGAUAAUAUUAGGUACUAAAGUGGGCAAAAAAAAUUAAGGACUAUAUUAAAAAUAUAUCUAUAAUAUAUAUAAAUGCAUGGAUUUUGAGAAACUUUUGAAAUGACAAAUAUAUAGUCUUUGUUUUUUUUUACUAUAUUAUUGAAUUUUUUAUUUUAAAUAUUUUUUUAUUACUUUUAAGAUUUAUCAUAUGUAUGGAUAAAAAUUUUGGUUUUACUAAAAUAUUUGGUUAAAUAAAUUCACUUUAUAAAAAAAUUUAGCAUCCUUAUAAAUAACAAUUUUGAUUCCAUUAAAAAAAUUAUUUAAAAAUAUAUAAUAAAAAUUUAAAAUUUAUAUUGAAUCACUUUAUACUUAAAUUAUUAUUAGAAACUUUAUCAUACACAUAUGUGUAUGAGAACCACGUUUUCAGAACUUAAAUUUGUGUUCUAAAAUAACUUAUGAUAAAUAAUUAAAUGUAUAAUUUGAAAUUAUAUUGAAAUAAAAAUAGAUUAAAUUGUAAGUAAAACAUAUAUAAUUUAAACAUAUGAAUACAUCAAAUUAAAAAUACUAAAUGAAUACAUUUAUUUAUGAUGAUGUUGUUGUCAAUUCAUAAGUUGGUGUCGAGUUAAUUUGUGACAUCAUAAUUUUAAGUGAUAAAUUUAAGGUUUUAUGUAUUGAUGUCGAUUCAAAUAUCACCAUAAUUUUUUUAAAUAAAAAACUAAAGCACCCUCAAAUAAUAUAACUUAUAUUAAAUAUGAAAGGGUAUUUUUGUAAUUUCUCUAACGAGUUGGUGCCCGGUUGACUCAUGACACCAACUCAAUCAAAAGCUUCAAUAAUAAUAUAGAUAUUCACGUUUAAAAAAAGUACUUUAGUUCGAAAUAAUUAUGUAACAAGUAAUUUUAUAAUUGAUGAAUAAUUUUAUAAAAAUAUAUUUAUAUGAUCUAAUAUAUUAUAUUUAUAUUAAUUAUAUAUCAUCUACAAACUUUGAAGAUCAAUUUAUUAAGUAUCAGGAAAAGAAAAAAUGAAAUUGAAUUAACACUAAAUCAAUUUUUAGAUUUUGUACAGAUGAUUUAAUGAUGAUAAAAACAUUAUUAGCACUAUUUUUGAAUUAACAAAAAAUUAGUGAUAUAUUUUAAUUAUAUUUUUUAUUUUUUAUUUUUAAUAAUAUUUUUUUAAUUAUAUGAAGUAAAAUUAUAUUGUAUACUAAAUAUGGUACAUAUACUUUAAUUAAAACUUGAAAAAGUAUUAUAUAAAUUAAUAUAUUUUAAUUAUAUUCAACCAUUUGAAUAACAAAAUUAAAAAAAAACUAAUUAGAAUUAUUUACUUUUUAAAGUUUAAUGGAAAAUAAAAAAUAAAAAAUAAAUCAAUUCAUAUAAAUCUUAUUGUUUAUUAUCAGAUUAAAAUGAUAAAAGUAUAUGACAUACAUAGAAGAAACAAAUUCAACACCAUGUUUUUGGAGUUUGGAAAAAAUUAAAGUGAAAAACCUACCUUCUAAACUGUUGUUAAAUAGAUCUAUUUCUUCGAGCGUAGUUGAAUUAAAAAUACUUGAUGGAAUCUGACCUGCACACAUAGUCGAAAAUUGAAGUGAAAUCAAACUCUUUUGUGAAAAAAAUAUUACCAGAUAAUUCAUUCCAACCCAGGUAAAGCCCUUCAAGCUUGGGAAGAUGUUGACACAUAUCAUUAGGCAAACUACCUGAUAGGCUAUUGUUGGAGAGAUUAAUGGUCUUCAAAGAAGAAAUGUUGAAGAUCGAAGUUGGAAUCUGACCUAUAAGGCCUUUAAUUGCUCUAAUACUAAGCCUUUCCAAACUAAGAAGAUUACCAAUUUCCUUAGGAAUUAGACCUGCAGACAGUCGAAAAUUCAAUGUUUUUCAGCAUAUGUUUUUCAUCAAAUGAAAUAAAAAGUUCUUCCUUUUGUUAUCUAUUACAAAUCAAACUCUUUUAUAAAAAAAAUACUUUAAAUUCAAGAAAUCAAGGAAAUUGAUUACCUUCUAGAUUAUUAAACCCCAAAUAUAAUUCUUGGAGUCGUGUUAGAUUUCCAAUACUUCUUGGAAUGAUCCCCAUAAAUUGAUUAUAGGACAACGACAAAAUAUUAAGGUUGUUGCAUUUGCCCAUGCCAAAUGGAAUGUUACUAGAAAACUCAUUGCUAUCCAAGUAAAGCCCUUCAAGCUUGGGAAGAUGUUGACACAUAUCAUUAGGCAAACUACCUGAUAGGUUAUUGUUGGAGAGAUCAAUGGUCUUCAAAGAAGAAAUGUUGAAGAUCGAAGUUGGAAUCUGACCUGUAAAGCCUUUAAUUGCUUUAAUAUUAAGCAUUUCCAAACUAAGAAGUUUAAAUCAAUUAAGAAUAAAAUUUUGGCAUGGAAAAAUGUGAUGAAAUCAAUUAAAAAGUUGAGACAUAAUAAGAAGUUUUGAGUCGUAAUUAGUCCUUCUGAUUUGUAUAGACAAAACAUAUAAUACACUAAUAAUAAUUAGUUUGGCAUGAGAAUGUGGCAUCUAAUCAAUCUUAAAAAUGAGAUGACACUGAAUAAUAAUUAGUUAUGAUUUGGGAAACAAAAAUGUUAAAGCCAUUGCUUUUAAUGUAAACUAGUAUGAUUUUUAUCUAUUGGGUUAAUUAUUUAUUUUUAUGAAAUUAUAGUGUAAAAUUUAAAGAUUAUUUUUAUCUAUUACAAAUCAAACUCUUUUAUGAAAAAAAUAUUUUAAAUUAAAGAAACAAAGAAAAUUCAAUAUCUUCUAAGUUAUUCCACUCCAAAUAUAAUCUUCAGUGAAGAAAUCUUGAAGAUGGAAGAUGGAACCUUACCAGAUAAUUGAUUGAAUCCCAAGCUCAAGGACUCUAGAUUAGACAUGUUAACAAGUGUUUCAGGGAUUGUGCCUAUAAAGUUAUUAUUUUUCAUUUUCAGCCUUCGAACUCCCUGUAAGUUCCCAAGCCAUGAUGGAAUUUCCCCAUUAAGACUGUUGUAUUUUAAUCGAAGGAUCCUCAAACGAUGCAAUUGGCCCAAUUCUUUAGGGAGAUGGCCAUAGAAAUGGUUUCUACUCAAGUCGAGAGAGAGUAGAAAUGAAAGAUUUCCAAGGUGUGGAGGGAUACUACCCCUAAGAUUCAUGCUUUUAAGUUUGGAAACAAAUUCAACACAAUGUUUUUGGAGUUUGGAAAAAAUUAAAGUGAAAAACAUACCUUCUAAUUUGUUGUCAGAUAGUCCUAUUAUUUCGAGCAUAGUUGAAUUAAAAAUACUUGAUGGAAUCUGACCUGCACAUAUAGUUGAAAAUUGAAGUGAAAAACAUACCUUCUAAACUGUUCAACUAAAAAAACUUUAAGCAUAUUUGUUUUUCCAUCAAAUUAACUAUUUUGCCUUGAAUGAAAUAAAAUGCUCUUACUUUUGUUAUUUAUUACUAAUCAAACUCUUUUCUAAAAAAAAACUUUAAAUUAAGAAACUAAGAAAAUUCGGUACCUUCUAGGUUAUUAAACCCUAAAUAUAACUUCUGGAGUCGUGUUAGAUUUCCAAUACUUCUUGGAAUGAUACCCAUAAAUUGAUUAUAGGACAACGACAAAUUUUUAAGGUUGUUGCAUUUGCCCAUGCCAAAUGGAAUGUUACCAGAUAAUUCAUUCCAACUCAGGUAAAGCCCUUCAAGCUUGGGAAGAUGUUGACACAUAUCAUUAGGCAAACUACCUAGGUUAUUGUUGGAGAGAUCAAUGGUCUUCAAAGAAGAAAUGUUGAAGAUCGAAGUUGGAAUCUGACCUGUAAGGCCUUUAAUUGCUUUAAUAUUAAGCAAUACCAAAUCAAGAAUAUUACCGAUUUCCAAACCAAGAAUUUAUAGAAGAAACAAAUUUAACACAAUGUUUUUUGAGUUUGGAAAAUGUUAAAGUGAAAAACAUACCUUCUAAUUUGUUGUCAGAUAGUCCUAUUAUUUCGAGCAUAGUUGAAUUAAAAAUACUUGAUGGAAUCUGACCUGCACAUAUAGUUGAAAAUUGAAGUGAAAAACAUACCUUCUAAACUGUUCAACUAAAAAAACUUUAAGCAUAUUUGUUUUUCCAUCAAAUUAACUAUUUUGCCUUGAAUGAAAUAAAAUGCUCUUACUUUUGUUAUUUAUUACUAAUCAAACUCUUUUCUAAAAAAAAACUUUAAAUUAAGAAACUAAGAAAAUUCGGUACCUUCUAGGUUAUUCAACCCCAAAUAUAAUUCUUUGAGUUGUGUCAGAUUUCCAAUACUUUUUGGAAUGAUCCCCAUCAAUUGAUUAUAGGACAAUGACAAAAUUUUAAGGUUGCUGCAUUUGCCCAUGCCAAAUGGAAUGUUACCAGAUAAUUCAUUCCGACUCAAGUAAAGCCCUUCAAGCUUGGGAAGAUGUUGACACAUAUCAUUAGGCAAACUACCUGGUAGGCUAUUGCUGGAGAGUUUAAUAAUCUUCAGAGAAGAAAUAUUGAAGAUGGAAGAUGGAACCUGACCAAAUAAUUGAUUGAAUCCCAAGUUCAAGAUCUCUAGAUUAGACAUGUUAACAAGUGUUUCAGGGAUUGUGCCUGUAAAGUUAUUAUUCUUCAUUUCCAGCCUUCGAACUCUCUGUAAGUUCCCAAGCCAUGAUGGAAUUUCCCCAUUCAGACGGUUGUAGCUUAAUUGAAGGAUCCUCAAACGAUGCAAUUGGCCAAAUUCUUUAGGGAGAUGGCCAUAGAAAUGGUUGCUACUCAAGUCGAGAGAGAGUAGAAAUGAAAGAUUUCCAAGGUGUGGAGGGAUAGUACCCCUAAGAUUCAUGCUUGUAAGAUUCAAAGCUAUAACUCUUUUAUGGAGGAUGCCACAAGAAACACCAAUCCAAUUGCAAACAGAGGUUGAGGCCGUCCAAUUGUUUGCCAAGACAUUUUGAGGACCGGCAAUGCGAUCCUUAAACUCGAGAAGUGCAAACUGAUCGGAGUUGAGAUUCCUGACUGUCAUACCCCAGCAAAGUCCGGAACAUGGUAUGAAUAAAGCUAAAAGAAGAUGAAAGCAAGUGUUGUAGUUCAUGAUAGCAAGACGGAAUAAGCCAAGAAAAUAAAAAAAAGUAGGACAAGGGAAGUUGAGUUGAUAAAAUAGUUUGGAUGAUGAAGAAAAGCCCAGAGAGCAUGCUUUAAUAUGUUUUGAAGAAAUUUCAAAAUAAAUUUCAAAAUAAAUUUCAAAAUAAAAAUUUAAAAAGGAAAGCAAAGUUUUGAAGAAAUUUCAAAAUAAAUUUCAAGUCUUCUUCUUUAAAAAAUACGUACAAAGAGCGAAUUUUCAAAAUUUUUCCUAAAUUUUCUUCACAUUACUCCACAUAAUCCAUUAAAAAAACUUAAAAAAUAUAUUUUAUUAAUUACUAUACAUUCUUUUAUUUUCAGAAUAAUAAAUUGUUUAAAAUUUGCUAUUAGUCCCUAUAAUUUAAAAGUUAAAAAAAAUUCAAUCCUCCUACUUUUCUAAUUUAAAAAUUUUAGUUCAAUCAAUUUUAAUUUUAAAAUCUCUGUAUAAAAGGUGUUUUUUUUGUGACCGAUCACACUUAACCAAUAUUUAAAAAUUAAUAAAAAAUAUUUUUUUUUGAAAUUUAAAGUGAUCUAAAAACAUAUUUUUAAGUGCUUUGGACCGUCUAUUGUUGAUUUCCUUAUUAUAUUAAGUGUUUGCAAUCACUCCUAAUAUAUUGUGCUUGAGUUGUGACAAAGCCGAUCAUCAAAUUGCCAUAAUGAUCUAUUGAUGCUGAAAUUGAAGUUUUUGUUAUAUUGAUAGAGCUUGUCCUUCAACGCGUACAACGUGUUUGUUAUUUUUCUCCCUUCAAAUUGUAUGAUCUUAUUCAUUAAAUGAAUUAAUGAAUUUCCCUUUUAAAAAGAUAUAUUUUUAAAAAUUAAAUACUUUAUAAAAUAUUUAAAAAUUUGUAAGCCUUAAAACAAUCAACAAAAUAUUUUUGAAAUUUUAUAAAUAUAUUUUAAAACUAUAGUAACGCUACAAAAUAUAUAUAUUUACUAAUUAUAUGCACCUUUUUUAUUUUUAUUUCCUAACAUAUCAUUAUUUUCAACACUAUCGUAAUCCUGUUUUGAUAAUUCCCUUUCCAUACAUCCUUUUUCUACAUAGAAUUUCAAAAGAAAAUGUGAAUUAAUGUAAACGUGAGAAGACUUAAUUACAUUUAUUAGUUUAUCAAUCAAAACUUAAUUAGAAUCCAUCAAUAUUUCACACAUCAAAAACCCAAACAUAAAAUUCACUUUUAAAUUAUUUGAAGAUACAUUUGUAUUAUAGGAAAUCGAUUAAAUUAGUCUUUUAUUAUUAAAUGUAUUAUUUUAAUCUUUGUAUUAGGUAUGAAUGAUAUCUCCUAAAUUGAAGCCAGAGCUAUUCUUGAAAGACUGAAAUUAGGAUUCAGAUGUGUUGAGAUGGAAAGUGACAACACAAUGUUGAUUGAAACUAUUUGUAACAGGUUGACUACAAUAAGUAGUGCUGCCGAAGUAAGACAGAUUCACGAUUGGUGUUCCAAAAAUUGGGAAGUCAAAUUUAGACAUAUUCAGCGGAAUGCCAAUAAAGUUGUUGAUUGCAUAGCUAAGGCAAAUGGAGGCGUAAUUGAGCAGCUGGUUAUCUUGGAAGAUCCUCUGCAUUAUGUGAGAUGGUAGCUUGAAGAAGAUAUUAGACAGUCACUAGUGACUGAUGAUAAUUUUCAUUUGGACUGAUGAGCGCUUAAUUUUCUAAGCUUAUGUUCAACAAAAAAAAUUUUAACUACGUUUAAAUUGUAAUAGAGUUAACAUUUAGUGUUUAAAAAAUAUCUUAAAAAUUAUUAUUUUUUCCAAUUGCAGUUCAAUUCCACAAAUAUCGACGAUGAAUCCGGACAUAAAAAUUAUAGAAAAAAAACACAUCUAUUAUCAAACCAACAAUCCAUGUCUAAACUUAAAUUAACAAAAUUUGCCACGCAACGCCCAGUACACUAUUAUAUAUAUACUAGAUUUAUUCUAGAUGCACAUGUUUUAUUAUAUUUAAAAUUUAAAAUAUAUGGUUGACUAAGUGUUAGUUGAGUUAGUAUUGCUAUUAUUGUCAGUGUAAGGAAAUGUGAGUUUAAUUGCGCUCAAAUGUGUUUUAUCCUCCAAUUCAAGGGUUAGGAAAAGGUUAUUGAUAAUUAAGUUAUACCAACUUUUAUGAUAUUAAAAAAAGGAUUUAUAAAUAAUAUAAGGAAAAGAAAGAAAGAGAAACAUAUUCAUAUUGAUGGGCUCUUUCAAUAUUAGACUUUUUUUUCUAUCACAAGUAAAAAUAUCAAAGGUGAUAAUAAUUAAAUUAUAAAAUUUAAAUUGAGAAAAUAGGGGAUUGAGUUUAUAAGUUUUAAAGUAUAAAGAAUGAAUAUAUAACUAACAACAUAUUUUAACCACAUAAUAAAAGUAGUUAUGGUAAAAUAAUGACCUGAAUAAUUUUAAACGUCUCAUCCUUGCAAAAAUGAAAUAAUAGAAAAGAAAUAAGUGUUGGGUGUAGUGGCAAUGUACAUCAUACUUCUAAGGGGAGAUUAGGGUUUUAGACAAGGGAAGAAUUUUAAACUUGCUCUUUUCUCUAGAACUCAACGCAAACCUCAAAUUUAUCUUUUUAAAAGAAUUUAAAAAUAUGUAUAUAAAAGGUGAUUUUUUUACCGAUCACACUUAACAAAAUUUUAAAAAAAAAUGAAAUUUAAAGUGAUCUAAAAACAUAUUUUUAAGUGCUUUAGACCAUCCUGUGCUGAUUUCUUUAGUAAUUUGAUUUGUUCAAUAUAGAUUUUGGUAACUUAAAACAAAAUUAAUAAAAAAUUAUUUUUUUAGAUAUCUUUUUAAUGUUUAAUAAUAAGUUAAUUUAUAAAAUAUACUUUCAUUGGACACAGGGCCUCCAAGGCGGUGAACCACUAAUCAAAUUAAUUUUGAGAUACUUAAAUUUGUUUUCAUCAAUUAAGAAAUUAAAAAAAUUGUUGAGACCUCAUGAUUAUGUUUUAUAAUUUCAGGCUUAUCAACUAUUUUGAAAAACAACAAAACGUCUUACACCAAAAACUAAAAAAUAAAAACGUCGACAUUAAAUUUGUUGGCAUGCAAUCAAUUUUAAGAUGGUUUUUGGAGUUAUAUAUCACCUUAGCAUUGACUUACUUUUCUACAGUUUGUCUUCUCCAACAAGUUAAAUAUUUCAAUUUUAACAACAUUGACAGGUCUUUGGGGUAGGGUCGAGCAAAAUUCAAUAAAAACAGAUGAUAUAAGUUGAGUUGGCUCGGCCAAGUCGAGUCGAUUUGUUCAAAUUAUUUAAAUUAGUAAAUUUUAGGGUGCAAUUAGAAUUUUUUGUUUUGAGAUGCUAAUUAGAUUAAAAAAUUUCAGUUGCUAAAACAAAAAAAUUGUAUUUAAAAAGGCAUAAAUUAAAUAAUUAAGUUUUUCGAGUUUCCAUUUAAUCAAAGGUUAAAAGGACUAAAUUGAAGCUUUUUAUUUUUAAGAAAGGCUGAAUGACAAAUUGCCCAAAGCCCAUGGCCCUAGCUAUACAACUAACUUUUCUAUGAUUAGUCCUUGGUUUGCUUUGGGUGAAAUCUUCCAACUAGCCUCAUCCUUGGUUUUACUUUCCAACAAUUAGUGUAUCGCGGGUUUUGUUUUCUUUAAAAAAUAUUUGUGGAUAUUAGGAGAUAAUGAAAAUUAUUUUACUAUGAAAUUUUAAUAAAACUGGAAAAUAAGUAAUUUAUUUUAAGAGAUCACAAUUAAACGUUAGAUUUCCCCUUUUUAAAUUAUAAAUUUUUUUUUGACAAUUGCAUAAUAUUUUGAGCGUUGUAGGAAUGCCAUAAUAUAACCUUCCCUACGCAUAAUCGACUCUUGAGCAUGAUGGAUCCUAGACCUUCUCCUCUAUUCUCGUACCACAAAUUGCUUCAAGUGUGGGUUCGAACAAUCACAAAUUAAACGCAAAACCAAAAAUGAUUUAUUACUUUCAAUAGCAAAGUAAUUCUCUCUCAAUAGAAACCAAUAGAAUUGUAAUUCCUAGAAAAUAAAAUUUAUUUUUUGAAAAUAUAUUCUCACUACUUUCUAGCAGAAUAACAAUAUGUGAAACUUAUGUCUUGUGUUAAUAGCUCUACCAGUACUAUCUAUUUAUAGGGAGAGACACGAGAAUCCUGGUUGAAUUAGUAAAACACGAAUAAUAUUUAUUUCAUAGAAAACAAUAUUCCACCCUAAGUAGAUCAAGUUUGUAUGACGCAUGGAUCAAAGCUCAAUCUAGGAGAAAAAAAACAAAGGAAUUUUCUUUGUAAAGAAAAUUUGAGAUUGUACUAUUUUCAAAGUUAUAAAUAAAAUUAUACGCCAAAUUUUCAAGUCAAUUUUCAACUCCAAUUUUGUAUGCACAAAUUUCUAAUACACUUGGUGGGACAUUCUUUGACUUUUAUCUAUUCUCUCAAAAAGUUAAAGUUCAAAGUUACAUUAAACUCAAAGAAGAUAUUCAUUAGUAAACCACCUCACAAGCCUGCUCAAGCUAAUCCUACAACUCGUUCCACUUCAUCAUCAAACACCAAUAUUCUUGCUUAUCCUUAUGGAAUUAAACAGUCUCAUUUUCUGCAUUUUGGGUACACACUUAGUUUUGUUUGAUGCUAAAACAGUCCCCGAGCACUCCAAAACCUAUAAUUGAACAAAUAAUACUAAUUUAAUCUUACAUAACAUGAUCCCAAAUUGAAAUUGUAUCGAGGUUUUAACCCAUAAGUGACUAAACCUUACCUUCAACCGAUGAACAGUAAUUCCCACACAAACUAAGACUCCAAUUGGAGAUUACGAGCCAUUGAAUCCUCCCCUAAUUGGCAUAAACAAAACACUUCAAAAGAAAGUUAACAAAUGGAGACAAAUCACUUAUCUAAAACUUACCGAACGAUCACAGAAAAACGUGGAGUGACACGAGGCAGAGUGGGAAAAGAAAAAUCAAGAGGAUGAAGGGUGAAAGAGAGCAAAAAUUCGGUAGCAAUGAAGAGAAAAACAGCAAGAAAGUGGAGGGAUUUUAGGGAAAGUAAAAAAAAAGAUGAAUAGAAUAUUUGAUAACUACCCAAUCCCUUAUUUCUCUCUAUCAAACUCCCCACUAAAUCCACUACUCGAAUUUUUAGUCCAUCUCAAACUCUCCUGGACGCACGAGCAAAAAAUAAUGACCAUGCCAAAAUUUAAACAAAAGACCUCCUUCACACCAACACUCCACUUAUCCACCAGACCAAUAGGCUCAUUCUUUUAAUUAUUUUCCAACUUUUACUUAAAAGCCUACUGACCAAAGAUAGGGCUUAUUCAUAAAAAUACCAAAUUUUGCCCAAGACCUGGCUUGAACUUGGGACCUCUCAAACACACCCAGAACACAUAACCACUAAAGCAGACAGAAAUUUUGUGUCACACAUUCACAAUACCCAAAAUUAAAAUUUUAGGGCGUUACAAAAACACAUUAAACAAUAUCGCAUAAAACAAUCACAGUCAGAUAACAAUUCAGAAUGUCGAUUUUACAAUUUAACCACCAAUAGUAUCAUAGUAUUCACAGUUGUAAUUUCAGAAUAUCAAAUUUCCACAUCAUUCACAAUAUUCACACAUAUAUAAAUAUAUCAUAAUAGAAUUCUAGAUUUGUAUGCACAUGAUUUAGAAGAUGCCAUACAAUUUUGGGUUUUAACAGAAUAAAUCCUACCCCACAUUACAUACCAUAAUGGGAGUUCCCCUAAACUCCCUUCUCCAACACACUAGGUUGUGGAUAAACCACUAUUGGUUCACAAAUAAUAACUGUCAUUUGGCUGUGGACACAUAGCAAGUCCCCGCAAUUGGAUUCUAGAUUUGGUUGUGGAUUCACAGCAAAAAAAUCCUACAAAUGAAGCCUGCUUUUGCCUGUAGAUUAUACAACAUAUACCCGCAGUUGGAAUCUGUCUUUGGCUGUGGAUGCAGUGUAACACCUCAAACUCGACCUAGACGUUAUGGCUAAAUCUUAAUGAUUUACUUUAACUCGCUAGAAAGCCCACGAAUUUACUUUAAAAUCAUGUGGUUAAACUAGUGUUCACUUUGAUAAAUCGUUUUCCAGUUUUAGAGAAAAUUCUUGUUAAAACUGUUACUUUAUUACAAUAAAACAUUGAAGUAAUUGUAUCAUUUUGUAGUGGAAUCUACUAAGCUAUAAGGUUUUGAAAAUCGUGAUUUAGUUUGAAACAAAUCAUUUUGCAAAUAGAAAUUUAAUACUACUUAAUUUGGAAAAGCACGCUAAAACGAAAGCAAAGUCCAAAAUAAUUUACGGUUUGAAAUUCUAAAAAGCCCAAAUUAGUCAUAAAGUCUAUUUAAACCAAUUUAUCGAAAGUGUAACACCCUAAACCCGGCCUGUAUGUUAUGGCCAAAUCUAGAUGUGUUACGAAAAAAAGUUUAUAAAACGACUUCCUUGUUAUUGGCAAAUCAUCGUAGCCAUUAUUACUUAGUAUAUCUGAUUUGUUUGGAAAACUUAUUGAUAUACUUAUUUGAUUUAAAAUCGUUGCUCACUUACGCCUUUUUAUUAAACCAAAUAUUUUGCAGCGGAGUUUCUUUAAAACAUCAUAUUUUGGAAAAUCAAAUUGUUUCUUGAAAAUCGUUAUUUUAGAAAAGUUGUCAUUUUCAGAAAAAUUAUUUUAUCAGUUGUUAUGCUGAGAAAACAAAAUAAAAUCCAAAACCAAAAAUAGUCCCAAAAAGUCUAGAGAGUCCCAAAAUGACAAUACUCUUAAAACUAGACAAGUUUAAACUAAUUUUAAAAGAAUGAAAUUUUACAGAAAUGUGGACACCACUGAGCUUCCGUCGCACCGACCCACCUAAAUCUGAGGGUUACUUGAACAGAAUAAACAAACAGAGAGUGAGUUUUGAAACUUAGUGUCUAACGCGUAUAUAAACAAAAAUUCAGAAUCAAUCUCAUGCAGAACAGAUACAAGUGUAAACCUUUUAUAAAAUUAGAAUUAUACAGAUACAAAUAUGCAACAUCCUACCCUCAUCCUCUACACACCAACUCCGACCAUUCUAUCACACCACGUGGGGUAUAAAAUACCCACCCAGCCCUACACACCGUAUAGUAUUUAUAUGACACUUUUUGGAAUAAUCGCAGCAGAGUUGCCAGUAUAUAGGCGAGAUAUCACCUCACACAGAACACUUCCUCCUCAUAAUACAAAUCCCGCCCCAUAGCCAGAUACAGACAAAAUAUCAUGUAAAAUAAAUUAACAGAUACUAGAGUUAACAUAUCACGCAUGAGCGUAUAAUAGAUAUUACACAUGCUUAUGCAUAACAAAAUAGAUCAUACAUAUUGUAUUCCAUAAUACUCAUAUAAAUGUUAUUUACGUCAAUCUCAAUCUAAUAGAGUAGCUGAUUUCAUGCUUUAACUCUUAUACCACACAUACAGACCCUAUAGAAGGCCCACAGUUGAUCGAGACAACAUGUAUGUCCCUAGGGAAAAAAUUUGUAAUUUGGGCCCAUAUGCAUGUAUGAGCCCACACACCCAAAAUGGCCUUGCCCAUGUGGCUCACCUACCUAGCACUCAGCCCAUACGGUCCAAAAUGGCCUAGGUCGUGUGUCACACACAGCCGCAUGUUGCACACAGCCUACCACAUAGCGAGUCACAAAACCGUUUGGAGUUGACAAGCCUAAUUUUUGGCUUUCGUCAAUCGUCAUUUUCUUACGUUUUCAUUACACACUUGGUUUGAUUCUGACCCAAAAGCAACCCUAAGUCCACCGAAACCUAAAAAUAGCAUUCCAAUGCCCAAUUUCAGUGAACAUUUACAAAACUUAAACAAAAACUAUCCAAAAACAUAGCCUCACAAUAGCAUCCAAUGCACUCGCACACUUACCGUCAACGAAUAGGAAACACCCAACACUCAAUUCGUUGGCGGAGCACCAAUUAUGAUAAUGCAAAAAUUUUAUGGAUUCUCAACACUAUCGAUCCAAAUGUAAGAUUGAUGCUUUCCAAUUAUGAUAAUGCAAAAAUUUUAUGGGAUGGUUUACAUGAAUUUUUGUUGUUGUCAACGAUCAAUGUAUUCAAUAAUUAAAAGAAAAUAUUAGUCGUUGUUAGAAAACCAAUACUAUGAGUGUUGUAGUUUAUUUCAGUAAAUUAAAGGUUUUGUGGGAUGAACUAGACAAUCAUGAACAAUUGAUUUAUUGCAAGUGUGGACAAUGUUUAUGUAACUUAGGGAAGACGGAUGAACAAUGUCGUGAGCAUGAUCGACUUCAUCAAUUACUUCUUGCUCUCUAUUCUAAUUGUUAUGCUCAAACUAGGUUUACAUUGUUUUACCAAGAUCCUUUGCCUUCCUUAAAUCAGGCAUUCCAACAAAUUACUUAGGAGGAACAUGUACGUGGAAUUACACUGAUUAAGGAAGAGAAGUCUGAUAUUUUAGGCUUUGCUUUGCAUACAGAAGGUCAUAACAAAGGCCGAGCUAAUUGUAUUGAUAAGUCAACCUUGUUGUGCACUCAUUGCUAUCGCAAAAGGCAUGAGAUGGCUACCUAUUUUGAAUUACAUAGCCACUUGGAUUGGCGGCUUAAGAAGUAUGGGAAGCCAGAGAAGAAAAGUGAUGAUCGUGGUGGUAAGACAAGUGCACAUCUUCCACGUAAGUAUUUUAUUUCAAAGGAUCACAAUUAAACAUUAGAUUUCUCAUUUUUAAAUUUUUUUUAUUUUUUUAACAACUACGUAAUUAACGAGUACCAAUUUUGGGUGUUGUAGGGGUUCUAUAACUUUCCCUAUAUGUAAUCGACUCUUGCACCCUCUUUUUUUCUCUAGAAUUCAAUGCAAACCUUAAAUUUAUCUUUUUAAAAGAAUUUUAAAAUCUCUUUAUAAAAGACGAUUUUUUUAGGUGACCAAUCACAGUUAAGAAAAACAAAUCGGUGGCAACUCCUUUCUAAUAAAUGUAAAAAACUUUUUAAACAAAAUAAGGUUGAAAUAAUCUAGUUGUCGUUAUACUUUGAUAAAAUUUUAGAUUUAGUCCUUAUACUUAAAAGGUUAAAAAUUAAGUCUUGUUUUUAUUUAAAAAUCUUAGUCCUAUCGUUAAUAUUGUUUUUUUUUUGUCAAAAUUUGUCAAGUUGACAUAUUAAUUAGGUUUCUCUUAUAUAUCGUGGUAUAUGACUAACACAAAAUAAACAAGUUGACAAAUUCUACAAAAAAUAUCAAAGAUGAUAAUAGUUUAAUUAAAAUUUUUAAAUUAAAAAAGUAAGGGAUUAAAUUUAUAACUUUUAAAGUAUAAUGAAUGAAAUUAUUGAAAUACAAGAACUAACAACAUAUUUUAAAAAUAUUACUAGUAAAUUAUAUAUCUACAACAAGAAUUGUAACCUCUUAUAUUAUAUUCUUGUAUUUAUUUUUGCAUCUUUCAUAAUAUGAUUUAUUAAUUUUAAUAUUUUUAUAGAAUAAUAUGCUUUAAAUAGUUUUUUGUAUCAUUUAUAAAAAUUAUAAUAAACUUACAAAAUAAUUUAAUGAUAUUUAAUUAUUAAUCGAAAAAAAUGAUAUCAUAUAUAUUAUGUAUAUAUUAAGAUUCCAAAUCAUUAAUUAUAUAUCUACGCAUUAUAAUAAAUUCAUCUUUCAAAAUUUUCCUUAUAAUUAAAGCAUAAAUUAUAUUUAUAAUAAUAUAAAUAUAUUCUAUCAUAAAUAUUCUUUCAAAUAUUUUUUAAUGUUUAAUAAUAAGUUAAUUUAUAAAAUAUUCUUUCAGUAAAUUAACGUGAUGAGAUCGUUAGGUGCUUGGAUUUGGUGAAGGGGGAUGAAGAGAAAAGGGAUGGAAGUGAAUAAAAAUGUUGAGAAAUGGAAAGGGUUAGCGAGGGAAGCCGCCAUGAAAGGUGGUUCAAUGGAUAUGAACCUUCAAGCUUUUGUGGAUGAUGUUACUCAAGGUUGUUGCAAGUAAAUUUAAAAAUGUUUUUAAAUUAUUUUUUUGUUAAAAAAACAUUUUUUACUUUUUUAUGUGGCAUGCCACAUUAUCAUACUAUCAUGUGACAAUUUCUGGUGAUUUCUGUCCGCAACAUUAGUCAAAUCAACUGUUAAAUCGUUCAACUCACAGUUUUUGUUAAAUGAAGAGGUUAAUUGAUUUUUUUUUGGAAUCAUUGAGUACUCAAUUGGUGCACUUUUUUCAUAAAGGCUAAAUUAAUUUUUUAAUUUGUUAUUGUUGAAGGCUAUAGCAAUAAAAAAAAUUGAGGUAAAAAAAUAUUAGAGCUAAAUUUGUCAUUAUGCCUAAAAUGUAAAACCAAAUUUUUUUGAAAAUGAAAAAAAAUGGAAAAUCGCAAAUUCCGUCGCAUAUUUUUGCUUAAAAUUAUAGUUUUGGUCACCAAUCUUUUGAAGUAAAUAUAGGUCACCAAUAUUAUCAAUUUGUUACUUUGUAAUAACUCACCUUAAGUUAUACCCCGACGCACGAAAGGAUUAAAUGACAUUGGGAUACCAUCAAACUUGUAUCUUAAAUACACAUUUACCCCUAAUUUUAUCACAUUCUUCUUAAUUGGUAUUUAUGGUUUAGAAAAUUUUACAAAUAUAUUAUUUUUUAAGAAAUUAUAAGAAGAUUACAAAAAUUCCAAAAUAAUAUAAAAAAGCUAAGGAAAACCUAGAAAUUCAAAAAAAAAAACGUGGACAUUGAAUUUGCUGUUUCACAUUAAAUUUUUGGAGAAGUAGAAUUUUCUAACUUAUUUUCCAUCAACUUCACUUCAAUUUUCAAUCACAAUCUAUUGCAUUCAAGAGCACCACAUCUUUUGGGAUGAAACAAACCUCUCAAUUUUAAGAUAAACGGAAUCUAUUGCAUUCAAGAGCACCACGUCUUUUUGGAUGAAACAAAGCUCUCAAUUUUAGGAUAAACGGGUCUUUAGGGUUAUAAAUUGAGGUCCUUUUCCACAAUUGCGGGUGAUUCGUUGAUAAUAACCUCAACAUUUCUGUAUCACAUUUAAUUCAAUUCCACAUUCAAUUUUUAGUUUUUAGAGAGAUGAUUGGGUUACAACAAUGGUUUGAAGUGAAGAUAUUUCAAAACAAGAUGAAUACUCUACCAAUAGUCAUAAUUUAAAAUGCAGGUUAUGUUUCAUUUCAGCUAAGUUAAAUGUUAAGAUUGAGGUUAAACCUUUUAGAGGUUGCUCGCAAAAGGAUCAAACCUUUAUAAAAUUGUUUAAAUGAAGGUCAAACCUCUUAAAAUAGACAAAUAAGGGCCUAACCUUUUAAAAGGUGUUCAAAUAAGGGUUUCUCAAAUUUUGUAUAUCAGGUUAUGUAUUUUACUCUAAACACAUCGACAUUUACCUAUUUUUUCUAUAAAUUGGGUUGAAGUGCAUGAAAAAACCUUAUUUAAGCACUUCUGUAAAGGUUAAACUCUUAUUUGACUAUUUUGAAAGGUUUGAUCCUUAUAUAAGCAACCUCUAAAAGAUUGAGUACUAAUUUGACAAGAUUGAGAAAUACCUAAAUUUGUUUUCAUGAAUCAAGAAAAUAAAAAAGAAAUGUUGAGAAAUAUUUUAGAGAUUCUUAGCUUUGACAAGUUCCCUCCAUCAUCUUCCUGCCUCCAGUCCCACCUCUUCUCUUAUGCUCCUCCCAGCUUCUUGCUUUUUGUGUGUUGAAAUUUCAAAGGAACAAAAUAUCAACCUACAUCAUAAGGCACGAUUGCCAGAACUUUACUUUCUAGCCUGUCGAUCCGAUCCAAUGAAAGAAGAACAAAGAGUCUCAAGAUCUGUCAACUUUAUUUCAUUUUCAUUUUCUUUGUCAUUUUCUAUGUUUCAUGUCGAAUACAAUGAAAGAACAUAGAAAAAUGUUGCCUAUUUAUUUCCCAAUCAUCAUGAAAUUACUUGCCAUAGACUUAGAAUUUUCUCACCAAUUUUCAAGCAAUCUGACAUGAUUUCUCAAUCACAAUUAAUUGAAUUCAAGAUCUUUUUAGAUGACACAAACAUUUCAAUUUUAACACAAACCAAUAUUUAGGUUGUACUUCAGUGCUUGACAAGCACUUUCACAUUUGUGGGAUAAGAACUCUUAACAUUUUAGGAUCACAUUUAAUUCAAUUGCAUUUAAGACCUCACGAUUUUAUUCUAUAAUUUCAGUCUUAUCAGCCUUUUCGGAAACAAUAAAACGUCGACAUUAAAUUUGUUGUUGAUGCAUUCAAUUUUUUGAGGGGUCUUUGGAGUUAUAUGUGACUUUAGCAUUGACUGACUUUUUUAUAAUUAAUCUUUUAUAAUAUAUCAAUUUUAAUAACAUCGACAUGUUUUUUAGUAGGGUCUAGCAAAACCCAAUUAAAACCGAUGAUAUUGGCUUAGUUGACUCGGUCAAGUCCAUUAGAUUGAUAAAAUCAAUUUUAAAAUCAGUUAUAAUGGAUUAAGGUAAUUAAUUAUCGAGUAAUGAAAUACAUAAUCAAAUCAAUUGAUUUUGUUAGAAACUAAAAGAAAAUGAGAUAAGCUGAAAACUGAUUGCCCUUUAUUAAAAUUAACGAAUCCGCCCUUUACGUAUUAGAUAAUACGAACAUCACAUAUAUAAUAAGAAAAAUUACGUAUGAUUAUUUAUUAUCAUAAAAGGUUAGUUUAAAUUUAAAGUAAUCUAAUAUGUUUAUUGAACUUCAACUAUUAAAUAAAGUAUAAGCUAAAUAAGUAUAAAUAUUCUAGAAACCAUUUCUAACUGAUGAUAGGCUAAUUCGAUUAAUUUAUAAAAACUACAUAGUAGGGUUAUAGUCCUCAAACUACACCUAAUUUAAUAAUAUUUAUAGUUUUUUUUUUAGCCUUAAACAUUUAUAGUUUUUUGUUAAUUUGGUCCUUACUCUUUAAAAUUACAUAAAAAUUGCAAAAAAAAUUAAAAUUAAUUUUUUUUCAUAAUUUUAAUAACAUUUAUAGUUUUUUUUUUGUGUGUGGUUUGGUAACUUAUCAACUCGACUCUCACUUGUAACCAACUUUUCUAACCUUUUUCGUACCCUUAACCUAAGUCCCGUUACAACUUUCUAAAGACCUCUUUAUCAGUGUAUCAUGUCGGUUUGUUUUAUAAUGGUGGAGAUUUGUUUUUUGUAGUGGCACGAUUGCCAGAACUUUACUUUCUAGCCUAUCGAUCCGAUCCAAUGAAAGAAGAACAAAGAGUCUUAAGAUCUGUCAACUUUAUUUCAUUUUCAUUUUCUUUGUCAUUUUCUAUGUUUCUUGUCAAAUACAAUGAAAAAAGAACAUAGAAAAAUGUUGCAUAUUUAUUUCCCAUUCAUCACUCUAACAGGCCCAAUUAGCCCAGGCCCAAACAUUAAUAAAAUGUCUAGAUUACAAAAUAAUCAACUAAAAAUUAAAAGCUCAAAAAAUAAAAUAAAACCCAUUAUAUUAACCCAAAACCCCAGCCCAAUUACAUUGAAACCCAAAAAAAAAAUAGUUUUCAGAAACCCCUAGGGUUUCAGAAGCCCCUCAAUGUUAUUUUGUAUAUCUAUUUAUCUUUUUAAAUUUUCGAUAUUGUCUUGUUUUGUUUUUGUAUUAUUGUUGUUACCAUCAUUAUUCAUUAUUAUUAUUGUUGAUUUUAUUGUUCUUUGAUUAAUGUUAAUGUUAGAGUAAUAGAUGUUAUGUGAUCAUUGUUAUUAUAUGUUAUAAUUUGUUUACACUCGUAUUGUAGUCAUUUGUCAGCUUAAUAUUUUGAGUAAUAUUUUAAAUAUUACAUUAAUUUCGACCCAAAUGCAUAAUUUUUUAAUAAGUAAUAUUUUAUAUUUUGAAAUUUGAGAGAUCAUUCCCUAACUUACGGGGUCUCAAUUUUUUCGAUAAAUCUGAAUAUACUAACUAUUUUCAAAAAAUAUGUUUUAAAAUUAUCUCGGGAAUUUAAAAAGGAGCGUGUUCUAACUUACUGAAUAUGAUCUUUUUUUUAAAAUCGAGAUAAUCAAAUAACUUUCAAAUAAAUAAAUUUUCAAUGUUUAUUCUCAUAUCAGGAUUUAAAAUAUUAUAUCCUAACUCACGGGAUACAAUUCUUUUUCUCGAUUAACAUGAAAUAUGCCCGUUUUAAUUUUAUUUUUUAAGUGAUUUUAACAAAAGGAUUGUAUUUUAAAUCUCUUCAAAAUUUUCAAUUUUUCGACAUUGAGACAUUAACUAAUCAAUUAGGUACCAAUUUUGGGCGUUACGAGGGUGCUAACCCUUCCUCAUACGUAACCGACUCCCGAACCUAUUUUUCUGAAUAUUGAAGGCCAAAAUUGUUUUAAUAAAUUAAACCCUUAAGACGUGACCCCAUCACACCUCAUAAAAAUUAUCGGUGGCGACUCUCGUUUGCGUUUUUGUUUUCGUUUUCAAAAUAAAAGUCGACCCCUUGUUUUAAAAAAGGUGGUUCGAUAGCUUGGCGACUCCGUUGGGGAAAAAAAUAAGAGAGUCAAGCCACGAGUUGAUUAUUUCUUAUUUUUUGUCAGAAAUUGUGAAUUCGAUUUAAAUUUACGAUCUUUUCAUUGCAUUUUAUGGUCUGCAUCAUUUUGAUAUGCUUGCUUUACUGGUUCGAGUCUUUUAAUCUCCGCAUAUUGCAUUGCAUAACCGUUCGGUUAUACCCUUUUAAGUGGGAGUGAGAAACUAUUCAUUUGUGAGAUUUUUACCUCCGUAUAGGAUAGUGGAUUACUUUCGGGAUACAUCCGUACCUAUGUCUUCGUGAGAUUUUCAUCUCCGUAUAGUUAUAGGGAAAUGUAUUCCCCUGAACUGAACUCAGUCCGUAUGAGCCUAUAAUAGGUAAGGAUUGAGGAAUCUGCUGGUUCAGGUACCCUUUCUUUAGAACUAAACUGCAUGUAGUGAGCCCUAAGAGCAUACCGUAGGUAGAACCACUCCAAACCCCUAGUGGUCACCCAAAUAGGUGCUCUAUUUAUUUUUGCUUGCUUAUUUUUGCAUUGUACUAACCUAUUUUUUUGUUAUGAUUGCAUUGCAUUUUCAUCAUAAAAAAGAUGUGUUGAUUCACGUUCAAUUGCUAAAUAGAGAGCUUGUCAUGGAAAACGGAUUUCUUGAUAAAGUGGAAGACAAUGUGGUUAUCCGGAUAUGGUCCAAGAAAAUUUGACGAAAGAAGGGUGAUAGUCUAAUGGAGGACUACACGACCUUGCUUUAUUGCCCGAGGAUUCAAGUUGACAAAGAUUAUUUGAGAGUCCUCAAUGUCCCGACCUUUUUCAAGAAGCUAACGAGUGUCACGAGGAUGAGUGAGUAAUGAGUUGCGGCCCGGAUCAAGCAAAAAAGAGAUAGAGGAGACACCCUUUUUGAAGAGUUCGCGAGAUUUAUAUUAAUAUCAAAAUGAAGAAAAAGAUCAAUGUCUUCGCCUGGAGUAUGAAAGCAAAGCUGUAUAUAUAUCCGCUUUAUGUAAAUAAAUUUGUUUUCUAGUAAAGUUUUUCUAAUAGAAUUGAAUCAGAAUCAAUGUCUUUUUUUGCAUUCAUUCCAUUCAUCUGCAUUGCAUUUCAUUGCAUCCAAAAUUUCACAAAAGGACCCUAAUUAAUUGAAAUUGUUAUAGUUACUCUGAAAACUAAUAAAAAUCUACCAAUUAAAUAUUCCUACGGUACCCGUCGCAAAACCAAAGUAAUGGAUCAAAUAUUAGAAAGAUUAGAACAAAUUCUGAAAGACAAGCAUAAUCGUUUUUGCUUAGGGUACAAGCCAGAUACAAGACAAAGAAGGAAGGAGUUAGAGAAGAAAUAGGAAAGAAUGACAGCAUAUUUGAGCGAGGAUGAGGUCAAAUGGGAGCCUAUGAACUUUCCCUACAUAUCCAAAACUUUUGUAUCGGGAGGGAUUAUUCAUCCCGAGCGAAGAAUGCCAAGAGAAGAAAAUAUUGAAGAAAUGUUGGGAAACGUUCACAUCAAUGCCAUAUACGAAGAAGUAGUUGAAGGAUGGACCUUGUUAGAUAUCCGACCUUAUGAACCUGGGAGUGUGCUAAACAAUUGGACUACAGAAGAAAUUCCUGUAGUGUUUAGACCUUACUCAGAGUAAUAUUCAAAACACACUUGUUGCUUUUAGCCUAGAAGUGAUAAGAAUCCCUCUGUGAAAUAGGCUCAUGUAUAAACAUCAUUAUUUUAAUAAAGUAAAUCUUUGCAUUCAUUUUGAGCAAAUAUUCUUUUAUUCUUUCCAUACGAGUAAUUAUUUUAGAUUUUUCAUUAUUUUAGGAUUUUCUUCCAAAAAUCAUUCUUUUAUUACAUUCAUAAUCAUACUGUACAAAUAAUUAUUCUUAAAUUCAUUCAUUCUUUGUAUAUUCUUUUGUACCUAUAAUAGGUCCCUAGAUAUCAACGACAUGAGUGACGCUGCUACAGACUUAGAAUUUCCUUUUAAACAAGACAUGUGUUUAGAGGGAUCCCAUGACUUUGAAGAUGACGUAGACUGUGGCUUAUCUCCGGACUUGUUAAGGAUGGUAAAACAAGAGGAGAAGCAAAUCCUACUUCACAAUGAAUCAAUGGAAAUUGUGAGCUUAGAAGGGGAAAAUAGGUGAAGAUUGGGACUGACAUUGCCACAAAUACGAAGUAAGACCUCAUUGAGUUACUCUAAGAAUUCAAAGAUAUUUUUGCAUGGUCAUACUAGGAUACGCUCGGGUUAAGUACUGACAUUGUAGUACACUGCCUUCCUAUAAAAGAAGAUUGCUAGCCAGUUCAGCAGAAACUCCAGAGGAUGAGGCCUGAUAUUGUGCUAAAAAUAAAAGAAGUCAAAAAGUAAUUUGAUGUUGGGUUCUUACAAGUGGUCAAAUAUUCAGAAUGGGUAGCCAACAUCGUCUCAGUUCCUAAAAAAAAUGGGAAAGUACGAAUGUGCAUGGAUUACAGAGACUUGAACAAGGCCAGUCGAAAAGACAAUUCCCUAUUGCCUCACGUUGACACUUUGGUGGAUAAUACAGUAGGCUACUCACUUUUUUCCUUCAUGGAUGGCUUCUCUGGAUACAAUCAGAUAAAGAUGCAUCCAAAAACAUGGGAAAGAUUACAUUCGUGACCCUGUAGGAAACGUUUUACUAUAAAGUGAUGACAUUCAGAUUAAAGAAUAUGGGAGCGACGUAUCAAAGGGUGAUGGUAACCUUGUUUCAUGACAUGAUUUACAAGGAAAUCGAGGUUUAUAUUGACGAUAUGAUUGCAAAAUCUAGAACAGAAGAGGAACAUGUGCAGGUCCUGAGAAAAUUAUUCUUAAGACUGAGAAAGUUCUAGCUCAAGCUUUCCAACGAAAUGCACUUUCGGAGCUAGGUCAGGAAAGCUAUUAGGCUUCAUAGUCAGUGAAAAAGGAAUCGAGAUCAACCCAGACAAAGUCAAGGUAAUAAGAGAUUUACCUCCACUAUGCACUCAGAAGAAAGUUCGAGGUUUCCUAGGAAGACUAAAUUACAUUGCUCGGUUUAUUUCACAACUAACCGAAAAAUGUGACCCCAUAUUUCAUCUUUUAAAGAAACAUAAUCCAGAUGUAUAGGAUGAAGAAUGUCAGGAAGUUUUUGAUAGGAUAAAGCAGUACCUAUCAAAUACUCUAGUGCUGUUACCACCUAGCCCAGAUAGGCCACUGAUAUUGUAUUUAACAGUGUUUGAUAAUUUUAUGGGAUGCAUGCUAGGCCAACAUGAUGAGACAGGAAGGAAAGAAAGGGUUAUAUACUAUCUCAGUAAGAAAUUCACUGAUUAUGAAAUAAGAUACUCGUCUAUUGAGAAAUUAUGUUGUGCCUUGAUCUGGAUAACUCGGAGGCUAAGGCGGUACAUGUUGUACCAUACGACUUGACUAAUUUCAAAGUUAGACCCUUUAAAGUAUAUGAUGGAGUCAACUACUUUGAAUGGGAGGAUGGCCAGAUGGCAGAUUUUACUUUUUGAAUUUGACAUACUUUAUGUGAGCCAGAAGGCUAUAAAAUGGAGUGCAAUAGCGGAUUUUCUAGCUAGCAGAGCCUUGGAGGAUUAUGAGCCUUUAAAUUUUGAUUUUUUGAACGAGGACUUAAUGUAUGUGGCAACCACUAAAGAAAAUGCUCAAGUGGAUCGCAUUUGGAAGCUAAAAUUUGACGGAGCCUCAAAUGCUAUGGGUAAUAAAAUUGAGGCAGUCUUAGUAUCCCCGAGCAGAGAUCAUUAUCCUAUUGCUGGCAAAUUGGAUUUUGAUUGUACAAACAAUAUAGCAGAAAAUGAAGCGUGUAUUAUGGGCAUCCGUAUAGCCAAAGAAUGUAAAAUCAAAGUGCUAAAGGUAUAUGGGGAUUCUGCAUUGGUGAUAUAUCAGCUCAAAGGAGGAUGAGAGAUAAGAGACCUCAAAUUGAUUAAUUAUCGAAAGUUUAUUCUCGAAUUGAUUGAUGAGUUUGAUGAUAUUACUUUCUCCUAUCUCCCACUAGAUGAAAACCAGAUGGCUGACACGUUGGCUACUCUAGCUUUCAUGAUCAAAGUAAACAAACUAGAAGACAUGAAGCCUAUCCAGAUGAGCAUUUAUGAGACUUUGGCUCAUUGCUACAGUAUCGAGGAAGAGGAAAAGGAUGAUCAUCCUUGGUACCAAGAUAUACUGCAAUAUGUAAAGAAUCACGAGUACCCUGAUCAGGCAACGAAGAAUGAUAAGAGGACAUUGAGAAGACUAGCCACUAACUAUGUCUUACAUGGAGAGAUUUUAUACAAAAAGGGAAAGGAUCGGGUACUACUAAGAUGCUGGAUGCUAUAAAAGCUUAGAAAAUCUUGGAGGAAGUCCAUGAAGGUAUCUGCAAAAUGCAUGCCAACGGUUUCACAAUAGUAAGACAGAUUAUGAGAUUCGGGUACUACUGGUCGACCAUGGAAGGAGAUUGCAUCAAUUAUGCCAAGAAGUGCCAUAAAUGUCAAAUUUAUAGAGACAAAAUACACGCACGUUCUUCACCUCUCAACGUUAUGACUUCUCUAUGGCCUUUCUCUAUGUGGGAUAUGGAUGUCAUCGGGCCAAUAUUGCCAAAGGCUUCUAAUAGGUAUCGUUUCAUCUUCAUGGUCAUUGGUUACUUCACUAAAUAGAUGGAAGCUGAUUCAUAUGCUAAUGUCACGAAGUCAGGAGUCAGCAAGUUCUUGAAAAGGGAGAUCAUAUGUUGAUAUAUAAUGCCUGAAAGAAUCAUAUCUGACAAUACAUUGAAUUCGAAAAAUAGCAAAAUAGCGGAGGUCUGCAAUCAAUUCAAGAUCAAACACCAUAAUUCGUCACCAUAUCGCCCAAAAAUGAACGGAGCAGUGGAGGCGGCCAACUAAAAUACCAAGAAAAUUGUGGGGAAAAUGUCUGAGACUUACAAAGAUUGGCAUGAAAAAUUACCAUUUGCCCUCUUUGUUUAUCGAACAUCAAUCAGGACUUUCGUCGGGGCAACGCCUUUCUCUCUAGUUUAUAAGAUGGAGGCAGUUUUACCCAUUAAAGUUGAAAUCCCUUCUCUCUGGGUAUUGGCUGAGCUAAAGUUGGAUGAAGCUGAAUAGAUCCAACCUCGAUAUGAUCAGUUGAACCUAAUAGAAAGAAAAAGGCUAAAAGUUAUUCACCACGGUCAGAUGUACCAAAAACGAAUGAUGCGAGCCUACAACAAAAAAGUUCAUCCCAAAGAAUUCUAUGAGGGGGACCUAGUGUUGAAAAAGAUUUUUCCUCUACAAAAGAAUUUUAGAGGAAAAUGGAUGCCAAAUUAGGAAAGACCUUAUGUUGUAAUAAAGGCCUUUUCUGGAGGAGCAUUGAUUUUGAGUGAGAUGGAUGGUAAAAAUUUUCCUAAUCUUGUAAACUCAGAUUCAUUCAAGAAAUACUUCACCUAAAGAAGGAGAAGGGACCAAUGUGAAAACCUGCAAAGGGCACUUUGAGUCUUAAAAAAAAGAGACCAAGGUGAAAACCGCAAAUGGUGUCUUAAGUCCUAAAAAAAAGAGGCCAAGGUGAAAACUAGCAAAGGGCGCCUUGAGACCAAAGGGGAUUUGAGUUGAAAACCCGAAAAGAGCGACUCAAAUAUUGAUUAAAAUGGGGCAUGCAGUGAUCUUGCUAUACUUGAAUUAAUAGGAAAGGGGUAUACGACAUCUUGGGGCAUCGACAAAGUACUAUAGAUCUCCUAAACACAUUUCAAACUCAAAAUGGUCUUUAGGAAGUUUGUACAGAGAAAUUCAAGCUGCGAUGUCUAGGGCACCUAGUCUUCAUACUAUUUAUAUUAAAUUUGCUAUUCUUGGAAUACUUUAUUCUUUUCAAGAUACGUGUUCCCAAUCAAUUCCCUUUUUAUUCUUCUUUAUCCUUGAUAAUUUAUUCAUUUCGAGCUAUGCUCCAAAUCAAUUCUAUUCUUAUCCAUUGUUAUUAUCUUUUGCAAGCAUGUUGUAUUGGAAUAAUGAUUAAUAGACUAAUAAUACUUUUACAAAUAAAGUGCUGUAUAUUACUCUAAAAGUUUCUAAAUAAUACAAGAACCUAAAACAGGACUAUUGUUUAGAACGCACCGGGUUUAAAGGUUAGAAAUAUCUGAGAAGGAAGAGUCCAAAUUAAGACUAUCCCUUCGAAUUUUGUUGUCAAAAUAUUGAUUGAACAAAACGACAAGAUAUCGUAUUGGUGAACAAACGAGCAAUGAUCACCAGGUAAUAAAAAGAGGUUAUUUUGGAAAAAAAAUUACAUUGGUACGACACCUUAGGAAUGGUGUAAGAGACCAAAGAGGUUCACAUCUUGUAUUCUUGAAUUGCAAUAGGAGAGGAUUGAGAAAGAGCUAGAUAUUAUACUCCUGAAUUAUAAUGGAAGGGAAAUGGUACAAAUUUUAUGUACCAAAAGUACAGUGGAUUGAACCUUGAAGAUUACAGUAGGGGAAAUCUGAUUAAGUAAAAUAUGAAGUGUUUCUUUGGAGAUACCAGUCGAACAAGAUGGCAUUAUGACGUGUCGGUGAUAGAGCCUUAAUGAAUAAUGAGCAAUAACAACUCAAGCAUUAAGGGAUCAUUUUCAUAACAUUCUGUAUUCAUUCAUACACAUCUAGUUAGGAGAUUUUGAUUCAUUCCGAUCAUAACAUCCAAAUCACUAGACAUAAAUAGGCCCAUGAAAUGGAUUCUACAGGUCAUGUUCCCCAUAGAACAGAUGGGUGAAACCACAAAUCCUAUACCGCUGAAGUUGCAGUGGGAUGGAUUGAAGUCAUUAUGGCGAGUCUUAUCUCCCUGAAGUUGCAAUGGAGCAUAUUAAAGCUAGUAAUCUUAUCUCCCUGAAGUUGCAGUAGAGCGGAUUGAAGUUACAAGUCUUAUCCCCCUAAAGUUACAGUGGAGCAGACUGAAGAUAGUGAAUCUUAUUUCCCUGAAGCUGCAGUGGAACAAAUUGAAGCUAUAAAUUGUAGAUUUUAUCUCUCUAAAGUUGCAAUAGAGAAGAUCAUAUCAAACUUUAUCUCCCUGAAGUUGUAGUGGAACAGGUUGAAAAUACCAAUCUUAUCUCCCUGAAGUUACAGUGGAGUAGACUGAAGAUAGCGAAUCUUAUUUCUCUGAAGUUGCAGUGGAACGGAUUGAAGCUAUAAAUUACAGAUCUUAUCUCUCAGAAGUUGCAGUAAAGCAGAUCAUAGAAAACCUUAUCUCCCUGAACUUGCAGUGGAGUAGGUUGAAGUUAUAAGUCUUAUCUCCCUAAAGUUGCAGUGGAGCAGACUGAAGAUAGCGAAUCUUAUUNNNNNNNNNNNNNNNNNNNNNNNNNNNNNNNNNNNNNNNNNNNNNNNNNNNNNNNNNNNNNNNNNNNNNNNNNNNNNNNNNNNNNNNNNNNNNNNNNNNNNNNNNNNNNNNNNNNNNNNNNNNNNNNNNNNNNNNNNNNNNNNNNNNNNNNNNNNNNNNNNNNNNNNNNNNNNNNNNNNNNNNNNNNNNNNNNNNNNNNNNNNNNNNNNNNNNNNNNNNNNNNNNNNNNNNNNNNNNNNNNNNNNNNNNNNNNNNNNNNNNNNNNNNNNNNNNNNNNNNNNNNNNNNNNNNNNNNNNNNNNNNNNNNNNNNNNNNNNNNNNNNNNNNNNNNNNNNNNNNNNNNNNNNNNNNNNNNNNNNNNNNNNNNNNNNNNNNNNNNNNNNNNNNNNNNNNNNNNNNNNNNNNNNNNNNNNNNNNNNNNNNNNNNNNNNNNNNNNNNNNNNNNNNNNNNNNNNNNNNNNNNNNNNNNNNNNNNNNNNNNNNNNNNNNNNNNNNNNNNNUCAAAGGAACAAAAUAUCACCUACAUCAUAAGGCACGAUCGCCAGAACUUUACUUUCUAGCCUGUCGAUCCGAUCCAAUCCAAUGAAAGAACACAAGGAGUCUUAAGAUCUGUCAACUUUAUUUCAUUUUCAUUUCUUUGUCAUUUUCUAUGUUUCAUGUCGAAUACAAUAAAGAGAACAUAGAAAAAUGUGGCCUAUUUAUUUCCCAAUCAUCAUGAAAUUACUUGCCAUUGACUUAGAUUUUCUCACCAAUUUCAAGCAAUCUGACAUGAUUUCUCAUCACAAUUAAUUGAAUUCAAGAUCUUUUUAGAUGACACAAACAUUUCAUUUUAACACAAACCAAUAUUUCGGUUAUACUUCAGUGCUUGACAAGCACUUUCACAUUUGUGGAUAAGAACUCUUAACAUUUUAGGAUCACAUUUAAUUCAAUUGCAUUUAAGACCUCAUGGUUUUAUUCUAUAAUUUCAGUCUUAUCAGCCUUUUCGGAAACAAUAAAACGUCGACAUUAAAUUUGUUGUUGAUGCAUUCAAUUUUUUGGGUCUUUGGAGUUAUGUGACUUUAGCAUUGACUGACUUUUUUAUAAUUUAAUAAUAAGGUAAAUAUAUUAAUUUUAAUAACAUCGACAUGUUUUUUAGUAGGGUCGAGCAAAACCCAAUUAAAAUCGAUGAUAUUGGCUUAGUUGACUCGGUCAAGUCCAUUAGAUUGAUAAAAUCAUUUUUAAAAUCAGUUAUAAUGGAUAAAGGUAAUUAAUUAUCGAGUAAUGAAAUACAUAAUCAAAUCAAUUGAUUUUGUUAGAAACUAAAAGAAAAAGGGCUAAGCUGAAAAUUGAUUGCCCUUUAUUAAAAUUAACGAAUCUGUCUUUUACGUAUUAGAUAAUAUGAACAUCGCAUAUAUAAUAAGAAAAUUACGUAUGAUUAUUUAUUAUCAUAAAAGGUUAGUUUAAAUUUAAAGUAAUCUAAUAUGUUUAUUGAACUUCAACUAUUAAAUAAAGUAUAAGCUAAAUAAGUAUAAAUAUUCUAGAAACCAUUUCUAACUGAUGAUAGGCUAAUUCGAUUAAUUUAUAAAAACUAGAUAGUAGGGUUAUAGUCCUCAAACUACACCUAAUUUAAUAACAUUUAUAUUUUUUUUAGCCUUAAACAUUUAUAGUUUUGUUAAUUUGGUCCUUACUCUUUAAAAUUACAUAAAAAAUUGCAAAAAAAUUAAAAAUUAAUUUUUAUCAUGAUUUAAUAACAUUUAUAUUUUUUUUUGUGGUUUGGUAACUUAUCAACUUGACUCUUACUUGUAACCAACUUUUCUAACCUUUUUCGUACCCUUAACCUAAGUCCCGUUACAAUUUCUAAAGACCUCUUGAUUGGUGUAUCAUCUCGAUUUGUUUUUAUAGUGGUGGAGAUUUGUUUUUUGUAGUGGGCAUGAUUGCCAGAACUUUACUUUCUAUCCUGUCGAUCCGAUCCAAUGAAAGAAUAACAAAGAGGUCUUAAGAUCUGUCAACUUUAUUUCAUUUUCAUUUUCUUUGUCAUUUUCUAUGUUUCUUGUCACAUACAAUGAAAGAAGAACAUAGAAAAAUGUUGCCUAUUUAUUUCCCAAUCAUCAUUCUAACAGGCCGAAUUAGCCCAGGCCCAAACAUUAAUAAAUGUCCAGAUUACAAAAUAACCAACCAAAAAUUAAAAGCCCAAAUAAUAAAAUAAAACCCAUUACAUUAACCCAAAACUCCAGCCCAAUUACAUUGAAGCCAAAAAAAUAGUUUUUAGAAACCCCUAGGGUUUCUGGAACAAUCCGCGCCGCUCCUCCAUCCGCUUCUCCACGCACGCUGCACCUUUCCACGUGCGCCUCCAGCUGGCAGUGUACCUCCAAUGCAACAAACAAAGCAACAAGCAGCAAAAGAAAUGGAAAAACAACAAAAAAAAAAGAAGGAGCAACAAUGUAUAACAGAUUGAUAACAAAUAAUAGAAAAAAUAGCAGUAAAUAGGAAAAAAAAUUAAAAAAUAAUGAGGGUAAUUUCAUUUUUUUCUCUGUUUUGGCUAUAAAGAGAGCCGGUCAAAAUCUCUAAAGGGGGAUUUAGAAUCAAUCAGAAAACAAGUAUUUUGUACCAACAAUUAGAGAAAAAAAAUACAAAAAUAGGGAUUGAAGGUUUUUUUUUUCUUUCGUUUCGAUUUAUUUAAAAUAGCAUAGAAAAUAAAAAGAAGGCUUACCUUGCGACGCCUUCAGAUCCUCUCGAAAAGGGGCUAAAAGGCCCUAUGUGGCACAGAUUUGACCACUGUUCACGGUGGAACCGCAGCGGAGGCGCAGAGGAUUGGCAUCAAUUUAGGCAGGGUUUGAAACCCUAGCAGAGAAAAAAUUAGGGUUGAUAGAUUUUUUUUAAAAAAAUGGCAAAAUGUUGUUUUUAAAAAAUUUUGUUUUAAAAAAAUUGUUGCUUUUAUAAAGGGUGUAAAACGGCGUCGUUUAGGGCAUGUUUCGAUGGCCCCAAAACGGCGCCUUAUAAGGCAACCCCCGACGACCCGACCUGCUCCAUGGGGGAUCCGCGUGGUUUUUGUUAAAUGGGUUAUGUCUAACCCUGGCCCUUCUACUUUUUAUACUUGUUUUAAUUUGAUCCUCUUUUUAUUUAUUUUUAUUUCUUUAAAUUAAGCCUGAUAAUUUUUUUCCAUUACAUUUUAAUCCUUAAUGAAACGGCGCGUUUUAGAGGAGAAGGGAAAAUUACCCUUCUAGUCCCUUCUUGUUAUUCGAGUGUUCAGAAGGGUCCUUUUUUGUUUAUUUUUUAUUUGCCCCAAAAUUUUGUUUUAAAGCUUAAUUUAGUCCUAUUUUGUUAUUUUAGCUAUUUUAUUAUUAGAUUAAUUAAUUUAAUAUUAUUAUUACUGCUAUUAUUUUACCCCUAUUAGUUAUAUAUUUAUUAUUAUAACUAUAUCAUUAAAUCAAUUAGUUUUUACAUUAUUAUUUCCAUUCUGUUUUUUAUUUACUUACUUAAAUACUUUAAAUGCAUUUAUUUUAUUUCUUAUUUUUUUAUGAAAUUUCAAAACUUUAGACUAUUUUUUUGUUACUAUAACCCUAAUUUCAUUCAUUUUAUAAUAGUUUUUUUUUAAAAUAUUUCUUAGAUUAAUUCCCUCGAUGUUAUUUUGUAUAUUUAUUUAUCUUUUUAAAUUUUCGAUAUUGUCUUAUUGUAUUAUUGUUGUUACUAUCAUUAUUCAUUAUUAUUGUUGAUUUUAUUCUUCUUUGAUUAAUGUUUAUGUUAGAGUAAUAGGUGUUAUGUGAUCAUUGUUAUUAUAUGUUAUAAUUUGUUGACACUCGUAUUGUAGUCAUUCGUCAGCUUAAUAUUUGAGUAACAUUUUAAAUAUUACAUUAAUUUUGACCCAAAUGCAUAAUUUUUUAAUAAGUAAUAUUUCGUAUUGUGGAAUUUGAGAGAUCAUUCCCUAACUUACGGGGUCUCGAUUUUUUUGAUAAAUCUGAAUAUAAGAACUAUUUUAAAAAAAUACGUUUUAAAAUUAUCUCGGGAAUUUAAAAAGAAGCGUGUUCUAACUUACGGAAUAUGAUCUUUUUUAAAAAUCGAGAUAAUCAAAUAUCUUUCAAAUAAAUAAACUUUUCGUGUUUAUUCUCGUUUUAGGAUUUAAGAUAUUGUGUCCUAACUCACGGGACACAAUUCUUUUUCUCGAUUAACGUGAAAUACGCCCUUUUUAAUUUUAUCUUUUUAAGUGAUUUUAACAAAAGGAUUGUAUUUUAAAUCUCUUCAAAAUUUUCAAUUUUUCGACAUUGAGACAUUAACUAAUCAAUUAGGUACCAAUUUUGGGCGUUACAAGGGUGUUAACCCUUCCUUGUACAUAACCGACUCCCGAACCUAUUUUUCUGAAUAUUAUAGGCCAAAAUUGUUUUAAUAAAUUAAACCCUUAAGAGGUGACUCGAUCACAGCUCAUAAAAAUUAUCGGUGGCGACCCUUGUUUUAAAAAAGGUGGUUUCAACAGCUUGGCGACUCCGCUGGGGACAAAAAUAAGAGUCAAGCCGCGAGUUGAUUAUUUCUUAUCUUUUUGUCAGAAAUUGUGAAUUCGAUUUAAAUUUAUGAUCUUUUCAUUGCAUUUUAUGGUCUGCAUCAUUUUUAUAUGCUUGCUUUACUACUUCGAGUCUUUUAAUCUUCGCAUAUUGUAUUGCAUAACCGUUCGGUUAUACCCUUUUAAGCGGGAGUGAGAAAUUAUUCUUUCGUGAGGUUUUCACCUUCGUAUAGGAUAGUGGAUUACUUUCAGGAUACAUCCAUACCUAUGUCUUCGUGAGAUUCUCAUCUCCGUAUAGUCAUAGGGAAAUGUAUUCCCCUGAACUGAACUCAGUCCGUAUGAGCCUAUAAUGGGUGAGGAUUGAGGAAUCUGCUGGUUCAGGUACCCUUUCUUUAGAACUAAACCGCAUGUAGUGAGCCCUAAGAGCAUACCCUAGGUAGAACCACUCCAAACCCCUAGUGGUCACCCAAAUAGGUGCUCUAUUUAUUUUUGCUUGCUUGUUUUUGCCUUGUACUAACCUAUUUGUUAUGGUUAUGAGUGCAUUGCAUUUUUAUCAUAAAAAAGAUGUGUUGAUUCACGUUCAGUUGCUAAAUAGAGAGCUUGUCAUGGAAAACGAAUUUCUUGAUAAAGUGGAAGACAAUGCGGUUGUCCGGAUAUGGUCCAAGAAAAUGUGAAGAAAGAAGGGUGAUAGUCUAAUGGAGGACUACACGACCUUGCUUCGUUGCCUGAUGAUUCAAGUUGACAAAGAUUAUUCGAGAGUCUUCAAUGUCCCGACCUUUUUAAAGAAGCUAACGAGCGUCACGAGGAUGAGCGAGUAAUGAGUUGCGGCCCGGAUCAAGCAAAAAAAAGAUAGAGGAGACACCCUUUUUGAAGAGUUCACGAGAUUUAUCUUAACAUCUAGACGAAGAAAAAGAUCAAUCUCUUUGCCUAGAGUAUGAGGGCAAAGCCGUAUAUAUAUCCGCUUUAUGUAAAUAAAUUUGUUUUCUAGUAAAGUUUUUCUAAUAGAAUUGAAUCAGAAUCAACGUCUCUUUUUGCAUUCAUUCCAUUCAUCUGCAUUGCAUUUCAUUGCAUCUAGAAUUUCACAAAAGGACCCUAAUUAAUCGAAAUUGUUAUAGCUACCUUGAAAAACUAACGAAAAUUUACCAAUUAAAUAUUCCUAUGGUACCCAUUGCAAAACUAAAGUAAUGGAUCAAAUAUUAGAAAGAUUAGAACAAAUGCUGAAGGAUAAACAUAACUGCUUUGGCUUAGGGUACAAGCCAGAUACAAGACAAAGAAGAAAUAGGAAAGGAGAACACGUUUGAGCGGGGAUGAGGUCAAAUGGGAGGGAUUAUUCAUCCCAGGCGAAGAAUGCCAAGAGAAGAAAAUAUUGAAAACAUGUUGGGAAACGUUCACAUCAAUGCCAUAUACGAAGAAGCAAUUGAAGGAGUGACCUUGUUAGAUAUCCGCCCUUAUGAACCUAAGAGUGUGCUAAACAAUUGGACUGCAGAAGAAAUUCUUGUAGUGUUUAGAGCUUACUCAUAGUAAUGUUCAGAACACACUUGUUGCUUUUAGCCUAGAAGUGAUAAGAAUCCCUCUGUGAAAUAGGCUCAUGUAUAAAAAUCAUUAUUUUAAUGAAGUACAUCUUUGCAUUCAUUUUGAGCAAAUAUUCUUUUAUUCUUUUCAUACGAGUAAUUAUUUUGGAUUCUUUAAUUCUUUUGGGAUUUUCUUCCAAAAUCAUUCUUUUAUUACAUCCAUAAUCAUACUGUACAAAUAAUGUAAUAGCCUGAAUUUUCAGUGGUGUCGGAAUGGUGAUUCAAGAUCACUAAGUCUGACAAAUGAGUAGAAAAUAUUAUUAAUUUAGUAAGAAUAAGUAAAUGUGAAGUUAGGAAAAUUUUUGAAAUAGUGAAUAGUGUACUAGGAAUAAAUAUUAAAAUAAUUAAAAUAAAAAAUGAGGUAUCGAGACCUCGAAGAUUUUAAACCAAGCCAUAAGUACUUUUAGAAGUAUUUUUAGAGUGUCAUUGAGUUGGUAUUAAAGUUUCGUUAGAAAAUUUUAACGCUCGGAUAGUUAAUUAACCAAAAAGGACUAAAUUGAAAAUAGUGUAAAAUUUGUUAAAUUGUGAUUAAAUAGCUUAAGUGAUUAAAAAGGAGGGAUUUAAAAGGCAAUUAGGCCCAAAUUAUAUGGGCUGGACGGUUGGGUAAGAAAAAUCAGCAGAAUGUAAGGAGAAAACAGGGGCAAAAUUGGAAACUUAACAAAUUAAACAUAUAAAACAAAGACAAAAGUGAAAAAUCUAGAGAUCUGUUCACAAUUUAUCAGCAAAAAUGCCAUAGGAGGUCUGAAAGAAGCUGGUUUUUCAUAUAUUUGAAUCAUGUAAGUUUAAUUCUUGAUUAUUUCUUCUAAUUUUUGUGAUUUUGAUACUUUUACAAUUAGGUCCAACUAAUUAUUUCAUUAGUUUUUGAUUUCAUGGCUGAUUUUGAAAGUUACCAUUGAUGAGUGUUGGAUUUUUAUGAUGAAUAAACAUGGAAUUAAAGCUUUAAUUUUGUUAUAUGAUGAUUUUAUUAAGUAAUUUUGAUAGAAAUUGAUUUUUGGGACCUAAUUGUGAAAAAGUUUGGAAUUAGGGUUUGGUGUUGCGGUUUUGAAUAUGAAAGGCUAUGUAGUAGUCUAAAAUAGUUGGAAAAGGUGUUAAUUGAGAAAAAUUAGAUCAAUUGAGGGGUUAAUUGAGUAGGACCAAAUUGUAAAAACUGUAAAGUUUGAGGUAAAAGUGUAAUUUCGAAAAUUUAAGGGCAUAAAUUGUGAAGUGAAUUAGAAUAGAAUUAUAUGCUGAUGAAUGAAUAAAUUUGUAUUUUAGAUCGAGAACCCGAAGCAAGCCGAGGAAAAGAAAAAGUAGUUGAUUAGUCCCUGAACUUUUACAAAUUCUGCAAAUCGACCCAGGUAAGUUCAUAUGGCUGAAAUUUAAUGAUUAAAUGUUAAUUUCAUGAAUUAUGUAAUGUAUGAUGAAAUGUAUUUAGUGUUGAAAUGAGAGUAAAAUAAAAAUGCGAAAAUCGAAUAAAUGAUCAAAUUAAGCGGAACGCCGGAUUUGAGUACUUCUGAUCAAGAGACAAAGUGAUAAGUGGUAGCUUUAGCUACACUUAUCUGAUCAAGUGAAAAAGUGAUAAGUGCUACACUUAUCUGAUCAAGAGACAAAGUGAUAAGUGGUAGCUUUAGCUCACUUAUCUGAUCAAGUGAAAAAGUGAUAAGUGCUAUACUUAUCUGAUCAAGUGACAAAGUGAUAAGUGGUAGCUUAGCUACACUUAUCUGAUCAGGGCCAAAUGAUAAGUGAUCAUACGUAAGACCAUAGUUAUACUAUGGCCAAGUGAAAGUGAAGUACUCAAUUUUCCGUAACCGUUCCUUAAUUUUGAUCAAGGAUGGUAAGUGACAAAUAGGCCCAAAGAAAUUAUGGUAAAAGAAUAAGUAGUAGUGAGUUUAUACCAAGGAACUCUCCAAAGAUUGUGGUUGACAAGUAAACUUAGUAAUGGUGUAUAUUGUAUAAGUGUACAAAUGUUUGGUAAGAUUUAUGUUUGUGCCUAUGAACUUACUAAGCUUUUCUAUAAGCUUACAUGUGUGUGUUUAUUGUUUUUCUAGAUUAACGUAUUUAUACAUUCGGAGGAUCGGAUCUACUUCGAGAAUCACACUAUCCAGAUAUACUCCGGUAGAUUUUGUUAAACAACUUUUUGGAUUUAUAUGGCAUGUACAGAGAAUUGAAGUAAAAAGUAAUAGAAUGAAUGACUGAGUAUGCAAAGUAAAUUUGAAUGUGAUGGUUGUGUUAGAUAUUGAAAAAUACAUGUUUUUAGUUUGAAAUGGUUGAUUGGCUGAACUUCGUUAGUAUUCAAGUGAAGUAGUUGAAAUACUGGAAUUGGUUGUGAUUUGAAAUUUGCAGGGAAGGUUAGAUAAAUAUAAAGGGGUUAUAUUGAUUUUUUUUUUAAAUUUCAAUGGAAUAAUUUUUGGACAGCAGCAUUGAUGUAACUUUUAAAAAUCACCAAAAAUAGUGGAAAUAGAAUUAGAAGUUGAAUGAGAUAUGAAAUUAAAUCUGAAUGAGUCUAAUUUCACAUGAAAGAAGUAGAAUAAGAAAAAGAGUUAUAUAUUUUUAGAUAUUUGAAUUUUAGUGAAACAGGGCAAGAAUGUUUUUGAAGUCCCCUGUUCUGACUUUAGAAAUUUAGUAAAAAUUGUACAAAAGGAAUUAUGAAUUAUAAUUUAUAUGUUUAAAUUCCGUAAUGAGUAUAUUUUAAGUAGAAAUAAUUGGAACCACCAUAUGAAGUCUUUGCAAUGAGAUAAUUGAAUUUUAGUGACAAGAGGUCAGGAUAGUCAAUUAGUGAAAUAGGGGAGACUUCAACUAAUAAACUGUAUUAAUUUGCUAAACCAAAAAUUCUGAAAAAUUUAUGGUGAAUAUACAUAUGAGUCUAGUUUGAGGGAAAAUUUACGGAUCUAAAUUUUUAGUUUCGUAUCUUGAGUUAUAAUUAUUUUAGUGACUACUGCGCAUGUGGACAGCUUUGUUGUGAAUGGUGAAAUUAAUUUUUAAAGUAAAUUUUUAUGCCCCGAACUUUUAAGUUCAGUCAAGUAACGCCUUAUGCUCGACUCCGGCAACCGUCUUGGGUAAGGGGUGUUAUAAAUAAUUAUUCUUAAAUUCAUACAUUCUUUGUAUAUUAUUUUGUACCUACAAUAGGUCCCUAGAUAUUAACAACAUGAGUGACGUUGCUACAGACUCAGAAUUUCCUUUUAAACAAGACAUGUGUUUAGAGGGAUCCCAUGGCUUUGAAGAUGACGUAGACUGUGGCUUAUCUCUGAAUUUGUUAAGGAUGGUAAAACAAGAGGAGAAGCAAAUCCUACCUCACAAGGAAUCAAUGGAAAUUGUGAGCUUAGAAGGGGGAAAAGAGGUGAAGAUUGAGACUAACAUUGCCACAAAGACAAAGCAUGACCUCGUUGAGUUACUCCAAGAAUUUAAAGAUGUCUUCGCAUGGUCAUACCAGGAUACUCCCGGGUUAAGUACUGGCAUUGUAGUACACUACCUUCUUAUAAAAGAAGAUUGCAAGCCAGUUUAGCAGAAACUCUGAAGGAUGAGGCCUGAUAUUGUGCUAAAAAUAAAAGAAGAAGUUAAAAAGCAAUUUGAUGUUGGGUUCUUACAAGUGGUUAAAUAUUCAGAAUGAGUAGCCAACAUCGUCUCAGUCUCUAAAAAAGAUGGGAAAGUACGAAUGUGCAUAGAUUACAGAGACAUGAACAAGGCCAGCCAAAAAGAAAAUUUCCCAUUGCCUCACAUUGACACUUUGGUGGAUAAUACAGUAGGCUACUCACUGUUUUCCUUCAUGGACGACUUCUCUGGAUACAACCAGAUAAAGAUGCAUCCCAAAAACAUGGGAAAGACUACAUUCGUGACCCUAUGGGGAAUGUUUUGCUAUAAAAUGAUGUCAUUCGGAUUAAAGAAUGUGGGAGCGACGUAUCAAAGGGAAUGGUAACCUUGUUUCAUGACAUGAUGUACAAGUAAAUCGAGGUUUAUGUUGACGAUAUGAUUGCAAAAUCCAGAACAGAAGAGGAACAUGUGUAGGCCCUAAGAAAAUUAUUCUUAAGACUGAGAAAGUUCCAGCUCAAGCUUUCCAACGAAAUGCACAUUCAGAGCUAGGUUAGGAAAGCUGUUAGGCUUCACAGUUAGUGAAAAAGGAAUCGAGAUCAACCCAGAUAAAGUCAAUGCGAUACGAGAUUUACCUCUACCAUGCACUCAGAAGGAAGCUCGAGGUUUCCUAGGAAGACUGAAUUACAUUGCUCGAUACAUUUCACAACUAACCGAAAAAUGUGACACCAUAUUAAAAUAAAAAUAGAUUAAAUUGUAAGUAAAACAUAAUUUAAACAUAUGAAUACAUCAAAUUAAUAAUACUAAAUGAAUACAGUUAUUUAUGAUGAUGUUGUUGCCAAUUCCUAAUUUGGUGUCUAGUUAAUUUGUGACAUCAUAAAUUUAAGUGAUAAAUUUAAGGUUUUAUGUAUUGAUGUGGAUUCAAAUAUCACCAUAAUUUUUGUAAAUAAAAAACUAAUAAGAUAACUUAUAUUAAGUACGAAAGGGUAUUUUUAUAAUUUCUCUAAUCGAGUUGGUGCCCGGUUGACUCAUGACACUAACUCAAUCAGAAGCUUUAAUAAUAAUAUAGAUAUUCAUGUUAAAAAAACAAAAAAAAAGUACUUUAGUUCCAAAUAAUUAUAUAACAAGUAAAUUUAUAAUUGAUGAAUAAAUUUAUAAAUAAUAUAUUUAUAUGAUCUAAUAUAUUAUAUUUAUAUUAAUUAUAUAUCAUCUACAAACUUUGAAGAUCAAUUUAUUAAGUAAAAAUGAAAUUGUUAACACUAAAUCAAUUUUUAGAUUUUGUAUAGAUGAUUUAGUGAUGAUAAAAACAUUAUUAACACUAUUUUUUAAUUAACAAAAAAUUAGUGAUAUAUUUAAAUUAUAUUUAUCAUUUAUUAUUUUUAAUAAUAUUUUUUAAUUAUAUGAAGUAAAAUUAUAUUGUAUACUAAAUAUGGUACAUAUACUCUAAUUAUAACUUGAAAUUUUAUUAUAUAAAUUAAUAUAAAUUUGAAUAACAAAAUAAAAAAAAACUAAUUAGAAUAAUUUUAAAAAACAUUAUUUAAAAGUAGUUAAAAAUCACGUGCAACAGGUGAGAUCAAUGGUCUUUAGAGAAGAAAUGUUGAAGAUCAAAGUUGGAAUCUGGCCUAUAAGGCCUUUAAUUGCUUUAAUAUUAAGCAGUUCCAAACCAAGAAGAUUACCGAUUUCCUCAGGAAUUUGACCUGCACACAUGGUCGAAAAAUCAAUGUGUCAAACUACCUAUUUUGUUAGCAUAAGUCAAAGAGGUUUUCUUUUCUAUUCUACAUAAUUUGCAGAUGUUAGAUUUUAAUAUUUUUAAGCAUAUUUGUUUUCAUCAAAUUAACUAUUUUGAACUAUUUUGCCUUGAAUGAAAUAAAAUGCUCUUACUUUUGUUAUCUAUUACUAAUCAAACUCUUUUAUAAAAAAAAUACUUUAAACUAAAGAAACCAAGAAAAUUCAAUACCUUCUAGGUUAUUCAACCCCAAAUAUAAUUCUUUGAGUCGUGUCGGAUUUCCAAUACUUCUUGGAAUGAUCCCCAUCAAUUGAUUAUAGGAAAAUGACAAAAUUUUAAGGUUGUUGCAUUUGCUUAUACUUGACGGAAUGUUACCAUAUAAUUCAUUCCGACUCAAGUAAAGCCCUUCAAGCUUGGAAAGAUGUGACACAUAUCAUUAGGCAAGCUACCUGAUAGGCUAUUGUUGGAGAGAUCAAUGGCCUUCAGAGAAGAAAUGUUGAAGAUCGAAGUUGGAAUCUGACCUGUAAGGCCUUUAAUUGCUUUAAUAUUAAGCAGUUCCAAACCAAGAAGAUUACCGAUUUCCUCAAGAAUUUGACCUGCACACAUGGUCGAAAAAUCAAUGUGUCAAACUACCUAUUUUGUUAGCAUAAGUCAAAGAGGUUUUCUUUUCUGUUCUAUAGUAAUUUGGUGAUGUUAGAUUUUAAUAUAAUUCAGCACAUGUUUUUCAUCAAAUGAAAUAAAAAGUUUUUCCUUUUGUUAUCUAUUACAAAUCAAGCUCUUUUAUUAAAAAAAUACUUUAAAUUCAAGAAAUCAAGGAAAUUAAUUACCUUCUAAAUUAUUAAACCCCAAAUAUAAUUCCUGGAGUCGUGUUAGAUUUCCAAUACUUCUUGGAAUGAUCCCCAUAAAUUGAUUAUGGGGCAACAACAAAUUUUUAAGGAUGUUUCAUUUGCCUAUGCUUGACGGAAUGUUACCAGAUAACUCAUUGCUAUGCAAGUGAAGCCCUUCAAGCUCGGGAAGAUGUUGACACAUAUCAUUAGGCAAACUACCUAAUAGGCUAUUCCUGGAGAGAGCAAUAGUCUUGAGAGAAAAAUGUUGAAGAUCGAAGUCGGAAUCUGAUCUGUAAGGCCUUUAAUUGCUUGAAUAUUAAGCAUUUCCAAACUAAAAAGAUUACCGAUUUCUUCAGGAAUUUGACCUGCAGACAUAGUCGAAACAUCAAGGUGUUAAAUUUCCUAUUUUGUUAGUGUAAAUCAAAGAGGCUUUUUAUUUUUUUUCGUUAUGAAAUAAUAUGGAUAUGUUCGAUUCUAAUCAUAUUUAAGUAUAUAUUAGUUCUUGAAAGAAUGAGUUCUUAUUUUUGGUAUUUAUAUUGCAAAUAUAUAUUUUUUUAAAUUUAAAAGAAGGGAGGGGGCAAAUGUGUUUAAACUAAAGACAUCAAGGAAAAGGCAUACCAAGUAUAAUUGUUUAAGUUGUGUCAAAUUCCCAAUGCUUUUUGGAAUGAUCCCACUAAAUUGAUUAAUAGACAAUUCCAAAAUUUGAAGGUUGCAGCAUUUGUCUAUACUUGAUGGAAUAGAACUUGAUAAUUCAUUUCUACUCAAGUAAAGCUCUUUCAGCUUGGGAAGAUGGACACACAAAUCAUCGGGCAAGCCACCAGAAAGACUAUUAUCACAAAAAUGAAUCCUUUUCAAAGAAGAAAUGUUAAAGAUGGAAGAUGGAACCUGGCCAGAUAAUUGAUUGAAUCCCAAGUUCAAGAUCUCUAGAUUGGACAAGUUGACAAGUGUUUGAGGGAUCGUGCCUGUGAAGUUAUUAUUUCUCAUUUCCAACCUUUGAACUCUGUGCAAGUUCCCAAGCCAUGGUGGAAUUUCCCCAUUAAGACGGUUGUAGCUUAAUCGAAUGAUCCUCAAACGAUGCAAUUGGCCUAAUUCUUUAGCCAGAUGGCCGUAGAAAUUGUUGUUGCUCAAGUCGAUAGAAAAUAGAAAUGAAAGAUUUCCAAGGUGUGGAGGGAUAGUACCCCUAAGAUUCAUGUUUGUAAGAUUAAUCAAAGCUACAACUCUUUCAUGGAUGAUGCCACAAGAAACACCAACCCACUUACAGACAGAGGUAGAGUUCGUCCAAUUGUUUGCCAACACAUUUUGAGGAUCGACAAUGCGAUCUUUAAACUCAAAGAGUGCAAACUGAUCGGAGUUGAGAUUCCGGACUGUCAUAGCCAAGGAAACAAUAGAACAUUGUAUGAAUAAAAGUGAAAGAAGAUGAAAGCAAGUGUUGUAGUUCAUGAUGGCAAGACGAAAUAAGCCAGGAAAAGGGAAGUUGAAUUGAUGAAGAAAUAGCCAGCCAACAUGCUUAAAUAGGCUUCAACCCUUGCACACUUCUCAUACAUAAAGUUCGCUGCCAUUACAACAAGAAAACUCAUAUCUCCAUUCGUACCUAUCCAUACUUUAUUUGACUAACUUUUCCCUAACAAGUGUUCAGUAAGGAGAUAAAUCAGUUUGGAGCUAUUCACCGGCUUCUCCAAUCUUGGUUUCAAACUCCUAACCCAUCAAUUCACUUUAAUUGAAACGAUAUACACGAGUCUUUCGGCUUAUAUUUUUAAUUUAAUUUUUGUUACUUUUCAUAAUAUUUUUUGAGAAAUCCAAAUAUUCCAGUCUGAAAUUUCUUCAUUGCCACGUCUAUCUCCUGGGUAAGUCCGUGGUUAGGCAGCCCACUUUGGGAGCAGGAUUGUAAUUGUAAUUCUAUCCGACUCAUUUUACUAUUUAGAAAUAUAAAAGUAAUAUUAUAUUAUUUUUUAUAUUUUUAUAAAUUUAAUUUUAAUUAUAAUUUUUAAACAAUAAAACGAGUCAUUUGUAUUUGCCUAGUCUAAAUUGAAUCAGGAGUCAAAAAAAUUUUAAUCAUAAUUUACUAUUAUUUUAAUUAAUUAAAAUUUAACCUACUACAACUAGUAGUUGCAGAAAAAAUGUCAUUCCUUUAGAAAAACGAAAAUCCUUUAGAAAAAUGAGAACUUAUGAAGCAUUCAAUAAGAGUCAUUGGAAUAAAUGGUAACGAAAUCAUAAUUCAAUAUAAAGCUAAAAAAUGUACCAAUCUAUAUAAAUAAUGUAAGAUUUGUGAUACCUAAAUUAUUAUAUUUUCCAUAAAUAUAUGAAGAUAUUUUAUUAGGAAAUAAUUUUAUAUAUAAAAUUUUUUAUUUUCUUUUGAUAGAAAUUUAAUUAUGUUAUCUGUAGAAAAAAAUAUUUAUAGAAAUAUUAUUAGUAGAAAAUCAUAAAUUUGUGUGUGGCAAAAAAAAUUCACCACCAAGAAAGGGGCAAAUUAAACAACUUGAAACAAGUCAUUGGUUGUUUAAAAUAUUAGAUAAUAAUUUCAGUGAAGAAUCAUUAAAAUUAUGACAAAAUAACCCUAGAUAUUGUAGUAUUAAAUUGGAAAAUCUCAAUAAUAUUAUUAGAGUAAAACCUAUGAUCUAUCUAAACAAGAUAUAGAAGAUUUUGAUAUACAAAUUAAGGUUAGAAAUCAUGCGGAAAUAAAAAAGAAAAAAAAGCUAGUAUGGUCAUUAAUUAUAAAAGAUUAAAUCAAAAUAUUAUUUUUUUAUAGUUACUUGAAUUAAUCAGGCUAAACAAACAAAAUAUUUUAGUAAAUUUGACUGCAAAUCAGGAUUCUAGCAAAUCAUGAUAACAGAAAAGUCCAAACCUUUAACGGCUUUUAGUGCACCCAAUGGACAUUACCAAUGGAAAGUGAUGUCAUUUCAAUUAUGUGAUGCACCACAAAUCUUCCAAAGACGAAUGGAUUUUAUAUUUAAUAAAUAUAAAAAAAUUCUAUGUAGUCUACAUAGAUGAUAUUUUUUAUAUUUUUAGAUACACUAGAAUUACAUAAGAAACAUUUAAAUAUUAUUUCUUAAGAAUUCAUAAAAUAUAGAAUCAUAUUAAACCCUAAAAAUAUAGAGUUAGAAAAAAGAGAGAGAAUUUUUAUAAUAGUGGAAAUAAAAAAUUGUCCUCAAAAGAUUGAAGAAAAAAAGAACUUCCAACAAUUUCUAAUAUAUUCCUCCCAAAUUUUCAGUUUCAAUUUUAUUACAGAAUUUCUUUGCCGACAAUAAGAAAUUAAGAGCGCUCUUUAAGUUGAAUAUAGUCCGUCAGAUAUGGCUAUCUAUAACAUGGAACCUUUGGUUUUCAAGCUGAAUAGGAGAAUUGAUUCACUUGAUAAGUAUGAAAAAUUGAAACUGCUAAAUUUAAGUGCACUAACUCUGGAUAUCAUCAUUAUUUUUCUGUACAUUAAAGUACCUGUUUGAUAUGCGAUUUCUGCCUCAAACUAUCAACAUCUUUAACAUCCUUUUGCUAUAGUUAGCAUGGGUACUUCCUUUUAGAUUAACAGUUAGGUUUGAACUGUGAAUUAGAUUUCUGUGGCUGCUGGGAUUGAAGAAGUUAGUAUGCGAAUGACAUUGGACAAAUUUGGCAAAGUCUUCUCCAUCAGUGAAGAAAACCCCUUGGCGUAUGAAAAAUGUUCACCAUCUUAGACAUUUGUUUUCUUAUUGUAAGAAUAUUUUUAACAUUGUAACUUUUAACAUUAUUGUAAGAAUAUUUUGAAUUAUACUUCAGUUAUCAAUUUAUAUCAUAUAUCUUUUGUUGAAUUUGAAGUAUAAUUUAUAUUUGCUGUUUUUGGUUAGAUUUCAUGCUAUAGGAAGGGUUGUAUAUGGAUAGAAAUUGAAUGUUACAAAUCUGCCAAAGUUAGUGGCGUUUUUUCAUAAGAGCUGCUAAAGAAUGCUAUUUUUGGCGGUGUUUGUAAUAAAAGAGCCGCUAAAGGUCAUGUUCUUUAGCGAUGUUUGUGGGUAAAGCGCCGCUAAAGAUCAUGUUCUGUAGCUGUGUUUGUGGAUAAAGCGCCGCUAAAGAACAUGACCUUUAGCAGCGUAUUUUCACAUAAACGCCGCAAAAUUUAGCGGCUUUGUCUAUAGCGACUUUUUUUGCAGCGCUUUAAGUUUUAGCGGCGCUUUUAGGCCUAAAAAAGGGCCGCUAAAAGCCUGUUUUGCUGUAGUGAGCAUAUUUACAUUUUCGUCCCAAUUUCAACUAACACCCCAUCUAUUUCCCACUUCCCUUUUUCGGGCAAUUUCAACUAACACCUUCAUAUCAAACAUAACUAUUUUUCAAUUUUUCUUCUUUAUUUCAUUAAUAAAAUUAUCAAUCUAUUUGUUUUUAAAUAUAUAAUUUCAUUAAUAUUUUUUAAAUUAUAAUAUAAGAGUUGUUGUUUAUUUAUAGUUUUAUUACAUUAUUUACUCUCUCUUUUCUAUCAAGUUUUUUAAAUUAUAAUAUAAGAUUUAUUUUAUCAAUUUGUGGCUUAUCCAGUAUUCAUCUAUUUUAAUAAUAACUUGAGUUCCAGUCAUUAUCAUACCAGAAAGAGUUCCAUUUAUUCUUUAUCGUAAAUUUUAUAAAAAAAUAUACAUUUUAUUAUAAUACUAUAUGUGUUACGAAUAAUAUUUUAUUGUGGAUGCCCAUAAUUUUCAAAGUUGUAACCUCUAAUGUAGUAACCUUAAUGAAAUUAUGAGGCUUUUAUAUUGUAAUCAAGCCUCUAUUUAUUCUUUGUAACUUAAACAGAAGCAUAUUUUCUAUUAUAUUGAUAUUUUUUAUAGAUAUAUAUAUAUAUAUAAGGAAUCAAAUAAAAAGUUAUUUACCUUUCUAUUAUAUUGAUAUUUUCUAUUUGAUUUGUUCUUUUCUUUCACUAUUCCAUAAUAUAUUAUCAGUACGAUUUUAACCAAGAGUAACAUGUUAUUAGAUUGUGUCAAAAUUUUGUUGAGAAUCAUUAGAUUGUUUCCUUUUUCUUCUAUUUAGCCCCAAAUUGCACCCCUACACAAAAUUCAACAAAAACAUGGAAAAAUUAGUGGUGCACUCUCAUAAAUUAACCAAUUUAAUUACAUAAAAUAUGUAACUUUAGCAUUUUAUCAAUCAUGUUCUUUAGCGGCAUUUGUGGGUAAAGCGCCGCUAAAGGUCAUAUUCUUUAGCAGCGUUUGUGAUAAAAGUGCCACUAAAUAUCAUGUUCUUUAGCGGCGUUUGUGGAUAAAGCGCCGCUAAAGAACAUGACGUUUAGCAGCAUUUUUUUACAUAAACGUUGUAAAAUUUAGCGGCGUUGUCUAUAGCGACGUUUUUUGCGGUGCUUUCAAAUAGUUUUAGCGGCGCUUGUAGGCCUAAAAAAAUGCCGCUAAAAGUCUGUUUUGCUGUAUGAGCAUAUUUACAUUUUCGUCCCAAUUUCAACUAACACCCCAUCUAUUUCCCACUUCCCUUUUUCAGCCAAUUUCAACUAACACCUUCAUUUCAAACGUAAUUGUUUUUCGAUUUUUCCUCUUUAUUUCAUUAAUAAAAUUAUCAAUCUAUUUGUAUUUUAAAUAUAUAAUUUUAUUAAUAUUUUUUAAUUAUAAUAUAAGAGUUUUUGUUUAUUUAUAGUUUUAUUAUAUUAUUUACUCUCUUUUUUCUAUCAAGCUUUUUAAAUUAUAAUAUAAGAUUUAUUUUAUCAAAUGGUGGCUUAUCGAGUAUUCAUCUAUUUUAAUAAUAACUUGAGUUCCAAUCAUUAUCAUACCAGAAAGAGUUCCAUUUAUUCUUUAUCGUAAAUUUUAUAAAAAAAUAUAUAUUUUAUUAUAAUACUAUAUGUGUUAGGAAUAAUAUUUUAUUGUGGAUGCCCAUAAUUUUCAAAGUUGUAACCUCUAAUGUAGUAACCUCAAUGAAAUUAUGAGGCUUUUAUAUUGUAAUCAAGCCUCUAUUUAUUCUUUGUAACUUAAACAGAAGCAUAUUUUCUAUUAUAUUGAUAUUUUUUUAUAGAGAUAUAUACAUAAGGAAUCAAAUAAAAAGUUAUUUACCUUUCUAUUAUAUUGAUAUUUUCUAUUUGAUUUGUUCUUUUCUUUCACUAUUCCAUAAUAUAUUAUCAGUACGAUUUUAAUCAAGAGUAACAUUGUAUUAGAUUGUGUCAAAAUUUUGUUGGACUUCAAGUAUUGGAAUUUAAUUGUUUAAGUUAAGAAUCAUUAGAAUCAAUGGCUAUUUGAGAUAUGCUUGAGGAUGAUCUCAUUCUAUUCAUCACAAAGGUGGAGGUUAGAAAAUCUUUAUGUUUAAACAUUUAUAGCUUUAAAGUUAUUUUAACCUCUUAUUGUGACCUUAUAAUAUUUUGUAAUUUUUUGUAUUAUGGUAUAUAAAAAAAAUCUAACCAUAGUGAUUGAUUAGUAAUAUGAAUUUGUUAUUUGUUAUGUUUAAUAUAUAUUUUAUUUAUACUUAUUCAUUUUAUUUUUAUAUGAGUAAAUGAAGUGUUUGAAGAUUCGAAAUUUUUAUCAUCCAAGUUGAAAAUAAGUGCAAAAGUGUACAUUAUUUAAAAUAAAUUACGCAUUCAUUAAUGUUAUAUGAUAAAAUCAUUACAUGUUCUAAAGAACUAAUAUUGCAUCAAACUGUAAAAAGCUCUUGAAGAGUUAAUAUUUUACCUCCUUGUGAUACAAAAUCAUAUACAAUAUGAUAUUAUUUUUCAAAUCGAGUAGAUAUAUGUUGAGGGAAAUCUUUAUGUGGUUUACAUUAAAACCAUGGAUAGAAAUGACAUGAGAUACUCGUGUAUUUUUAUUAUAAAUAUUCCUUGAAGGAAGACACUUCACUUGUAUGAUUGACAUAUGAGAUAGUGGCAAGAAGUUCAUAGUGUUGGUAUGGUCGUCUAGAUCAUCUCAAAUCAAUAAUGAUGCAAAAUAAUUUGAAGAGAAUUUAUAUGAUUUUAUUGAAGAAUGAGAAGAUAUUUUCAUUUUGAUAAUUGUCAUCAAUACUAGUUCUUUGGAAAAAAAAUAUUGAACUAACAUAAAGUUAGAGGUUGGUUGCAUUUUUUGAUGAUAUCCAAAUAAUAUAUGAGCUCAUGUAUCACAUGUAUGCAACCCAAAGUUUACAGUAUUAUUUCUUGAAAUAAUUUGAUUCUACACAAUCUCUAUAGUAUGCAAUUUGUGCUAACAACGUUGGUGCAUUAUAUCCUAAGCUUGAUUUUCGUAGUUUUAGCUGAGAUAAUAUUAAGUUGUCUAUGCCUAUAUAUGUUAUACUUAAUGGUUAGCAAAAUUGUGCCUCCAUUUAAUUGCUUAACCAUUAAUAUAAGAAUAACUUUAAAAUAAGCAUGUAAUUUUAUUUGCAUAGAGUCAACAUGUAAGAAACAUUUGCCCCAUGAGAAUUGGCUUUCAUUUAUAAGCCAAUAGGUUUCAUAUGACUAUUUGGAUGUAAAAUAUCUAUUUUAUAUUCCACCAUAAUGCACUAAGAUGGUCCAUCAAGUAUGAAGUUGAGAAAAUUUAGAAUUUUUAUUUGAUGGUAAAAGUUGAAAAGAGAUAUAUACUUAUAAUUUUGAAAAAAAUAGUCAUGUUGCAAAUUUUUCUCAAUAUUAGGGGGAGACAAGUUGGACAAAUAAGGAUAAUUAUGUCAUCACUUUUUGUGAUCCCUCACUAAUAUUAUGUGCACAAAGUUUGAAGGAAAAAAGUAUUUGCUAGACAUGUUUAGUGAUGACACUUAGAGAUUGUAUAUACUAGAUGAUACAUAUACCAGCUAAAAUGUUCCAAAUAAUUAUGAGUCCUAGAAGGACAUAGUGAUAAAAAUAAUUUUUGGGCACGCUAGAAGGAUAAAAAACUAGUUCAUUCUAUAAAUCAAAAAAUUCUUGAAAGAAAAGAGUAAGAAAUGAAGCUGGCCACACAUUAAAGGAAACGAGUACUCAUGAAGAGACCUAAGGCAUAACUUUUAAUAAAACCCCAAAAGAGGUUCAAUACAUGGAAUUAUGAAUAUAAUAAGAUAUCUCGAUUAGUUAUAUCAUAACUAAAGAUGAUGGGGUUGAUAAAAGGAAAUUGUUGUUAACAACGAUAAUCUAAGUAGAACAUUUCAAUAUUAUGGUAAAAUGAGUAUUUUGAAUGAAAAUAUACUUGAAAGUAUUUAGAUGGGAACAACUCAUCAAAAUAAAUAGACGUUUCUAUUAUAACUUAUGAAAUGUGUCUCGGACAUGAAGUCCAAACAUUCGACAGGUGUAAAGCCAAGUGGAGUAUAUGUUAGCAUAAUAGUGAAAAAAUACAAAUCAUAAUAUAUAAAAUUGACUUGUAAGACAAACUUUCCCAAGACACUUGAUUUUGAUUAUGAAAAAUGAUUAAUUUGUGAUCUUAUCAAUUGAACAUACUUUGUAUAAUCAACAAAUUAUUAAUUAACCUCAUUUAACCAAUUUCCUUCAACACAUUUCAAAUCAAAUUAAUGUGUUGAGCACGCCCUUAACCCUUUUUCUUGAUUCAUUGCAUAGUCUAUUUCCAAGUACCAUAAUCAUCAACAUUUCAAUAUAUAAAGUCAUAACAUAAUGAAUCAUAGUUAGAAUUUUUUUUACCCUAUUAACCAAGUAUGGAACAAAAAUAAAAACCUAAUUUGUCAAGCUCAUUCAAUCAGCUUAUAUAUUAUAAGAAGAGCCUAAGUAUAAAUCCUAUACAUGAUUUCAAAUUCAACUAUUUAUAUUUGAGAUUCAAUUUAAAAUUCAUACUGAAAUUAUCAAAUUAACUCGUAAGCUACUCACGCUAAACAUUAAGGUACUCGAAUUCAAGUGGCUAGAUAUCAUAAACACUUUUAGCUUGUAAAACUAUUUCUAAGGGUCAGCCCAGAAUCAUGGUUGAACCCAAAAUCUGGUAACAAAAAUUUAAUUGAGCCAUCAGCCUAAAACAAAAAAGGCUUAAAAGGUUGGCACCCGAACAAUCAAAGAUAAACACCACCAUAUGCCACUCCCUGAAUCCGAUACAUACAAUAACACCCUUCACCACUUUUAUUCUUCUCCUUUUUUUUAACCUCAAUUUGGAUGGUCGCAUUUCUCUUUUUAGUGCUUUAUAGGGUUUGGGCUUUCAGAAUCCUCAGAGAUGCAAUUCAUGGAUCCCUCUAAGAAAUGCAAGCUUGAUGAAAAUGGUAUUAUUUCAACGGCAUCAGAACCUGACCCAAUCACCAAACUAACCCCACAAGAUGGCCGCAAGCUAAUCGAGCAAUUUAUCGUCGAUCAACUCCUUGACGUCCUCCAAGAUGCUGUUUGUUGUCACCUUGAUGUUCUUUCCGCCGUACACUCUAUUGCCGAUCAAGAUCCAUCUCAAAGGAAGCUUUUCAUCCGUGGUUGGGUUGGGAUACUACAACCCAACCCAACCCACAUUAGCAUACUACCAUGCGGUAACUUCUAGUGAUUUCUGUCUGUAACAUUAGACAGGUUAACAGUUAAAUCGUUCAACUGAAAGAUUUCUUUGAAGGAAGAGGUCAAUUGAUUUUUUUUGGAAUCAUUGUGUACUCAGUUGCAUUUAAGACGGGUAUCAUUCAUAAAGUAUAUAUCUACAUCAAGAAUGGUAGCCUCUUAUAUUAUAUUCAUGUAUUUAUUUUGCAUCUUUAAUUAUAAUAGGAUUUUUUUUGUUUAUUUAUAGUUUUAAUUAUAAUAUUUUUUAAAUAUGCCAAAGUAAAUUAUGUACCAAUUUUAAACUUCUCCUAGGUAAUUUAACGUAAGGGCAUUUAUGUUAUUUUACCACUUAUGAUAAAACUAACCUAAUUUUAGAUCUAAGUGUUUACCAACCUUCUUUUAGUCAAAUUAUGCAAGCCUAAAAUUUUUAGCUUAAUUUGAGUUUGUUUACUAUGUCUAAUUCAAGUUUUAUUAUUAAGAACUAAAUUGUAACUUAAACAAAUUAGAAUACCAAUUUAAAGAGACAAAAAUUCAAAGCCCCAAAACCCACACGGGCAUGUGGGUAAGUGACACAGGCGUGUGGAAACUGGAGCUAUCACACACGGGUGAGUGGGACUGAAAAAUAUGAAAUAAAUUAAUCCAUUUAAAUUUCCAACAACCAUGCUAUACUACCAAACCAAAUAAUGUUAGAAGCUUUGAAUAGGGGCGAAUCUUAAAAAAAAUAGAAGAAUUAGAAUUAAAUUAUAAAAUUUUGAGAAGUUGUCAUGUAUUAAUUUAUUAUUUUUUAAAGGGUCUUAAUAGAUUUUUUUUCCCCAUUUUGGUUUGGCCAAUACCCCUGUCUGCCUCUUUCAAUUUGCUUCAACCCUUAGCCCAAUAUUCGAUUUGUUGUGGAAGUUUGACGCAUAAAAAUUCCUUUUUUAGAGGUUUAAAUUAUAAAUUUUUAUUAACAAAAUAUAAAAGAAAAAAACAUGUGUAGACAAGCCAAGAAACCUUUGGGAUCAUACAGGUGAUUUUGAGAUGUUCAUGGUUAUUUUGGUGGAGAGGGUAAAAAAGAAACAAAUGAUUCAUUAUAUAUGAUAUAAUUAUGAAAUUCAAGCCAUAUAUUGUAUGUUUCAUCCAUACAAAUUUCUUGUAGCAUUAAAUGACUCGUAGGCUUGCUGAAUUUCUUUGAAAGGCCCAAAGGCAAUUUAACAUUCACAAAAUAAUCUCUAAAUAGUGUAAAGACAAAUCAAAUCCACAGUAGCAUUAGAGUUGAUUAAGCUAAGCAUUGGCAAAUAUUACUUUGAUUUUGCAUGCAAUAUUGGCAAAACCCCCUCUUACAUUAGAAAAACAACAUAAUCCAUGAAACAUUGAUAGCCCAAUACAAAUUUCAUCGAGAAAAAAGUCUCUUUGUUUUGUAGAACAUGAUAGUAAAGAUGUGGAGUUUCGUUCUUCUUAUUGGCCUCCUUUAGUUUUCCUUGAUCAACAACCACUAGCCAAAAACACAAUUAGAUUAGAUUAUGAAUGAUACUUUCAACUAUGACAAUAUUAAAUACAAACCACUCUAAAUAACUCUAAAUAAAUGGAAAGCAGCAAAUUACCAGACGAGGCAAGCUAGCUCAAUUAAGACCAUUGUGUUAUACUUGUCUCUGAAUUGAAAAAUUUAGAAGGAAAUAAAGAGAAAGACUUAGAAAAUACUUGAAAACAGAAAAAAAAAUUAUGUCAUUUAAAAUAAAAAAUUUCUAUUCAAGCCAUUUAAAAUUUGUAAGAUUUUUAAAAUUUUAAAAUGAUAAAGGUAAAAUUGUACUUUGGCACCCCAAAAAUGAUAAAACUUUGAUUUAAUUAUUUAAAAAUUAUAAAAAUAUAGGCUAUUAAAAUGGUGAAAUUAUAUUUUUACUAUAGUAAAAAUUACAAUUUAAUUUCACCCCUAAAAGGAUUUUCUGGCUUCGCACCUAAUAAAAUCUUUGGCAAAAGACUAAAAUAAAAUUAUACCAUGAAUGGAAAAAGAAACUAAUAAAAUCCAAUCUAACAAAGAAAAUAACUUGAUGUCCAAAAGCUACCAUAAACCGUAAUUCAUGGGAAGGCUUGUUGCUUAUUUUAUUGGUUUCCAUUUUGAAAGAAGUUUGAAUUUUGAAGAGAGCCUACUACGUGAAAGCAAAAGAAAAAAAAAUAGUUUAUAUGAUUAAAAUUCCAGAAUAGAUUAAAAAUGUUGAAUUAAAGAUAAAAUUAAGUGUGAAUUAAUAACCACAAGUGUACUCUUUACUCACCAUCUCUGUUAAAAAUGUUGGAUGUUGUUUAGCAACCUUUGUUUGAUUUUCUUCAGCUCAACCACAACAUCUUUCAUAUCUUUUCUUUCUUCUGGUAACUCAGCUGAACAAUUCAAAGCCAACUCCAUGAUAGAUGAAAUACAAUUUGCUUUAACAACAAUGUACUCAUCCUCUCUUCUUAAUAAAUCAACAUCUGCAAUUUCUAUCGCUCCUUUAGGCAAUGAUCUUUCCAUCCAAUGCCUUAUACUCUCUUCUUCAACAAAAACCUUAUCAGUUGGCUUUUUCUUUGUGAAAGUUUCUAUAAGGACGAUCCCAUAACUAUAGACGUCAGAUUUUAUAGAAACAAUUCCUGCUGAUCCAAAUUCUGCAUUUCAAGUAUAAUUAGAACAUCAUUCAUCCUCAAUUAUUUCUAAAACGCUUAUUCAAAUAUCUAUCCACAUACACGUGAAACAAGAAUAUAAAAUACAAAUUAGGAAAAUAAUCAUACAAAAAUAAAAAAAAGAAUUCACCUGGUGCCAUAUACCCAAUAGUUGCAAGAGUCAUGGUUUGCUUCAUUACUUCACCUUCUCCCAACAAUUUGGCAACGCCAAAAUCUCCAACAUGUGCAACCAUGUCUUCAUCUAGUAAAAUAUUGCUUGGUUUUAUGUCACAAUGAAUUAUAGGUGUUGGAUGUCCAUUGUGGAGGUGUUCUAUAGCUACCGCAACAUCUAUCAUUAUGUCGACCCUUUGUAUGAUACCAAGGAAACAAUUUUCAGAAUGUAACCAUUUCUCAAGGUUUCCAUUAGACAUGUAAUCAAGCACCAAGGCUUUGAAGUCAACACUUGAGCAGUAAGUAAUGACCUUCACAAUAUUACGAUGAACUAUAUUAAGCAUAGCAUCACAUUCAAUGUCAAAACUCCUAAAUGCUCCCUCUGUUUGCAAAUUGAAAACUUUUAUUGCAACUUCCAUUCCAUCUGAAAGCCUCCCUUUAUAUACAUAUCCAAAACUCCCUGAACCAAGCGUAUUGCUUUCCUCAAAUCCAUUAGUUGCUCGUGAAAGUUCAGCAUGUGAAAUUCUUCUCAGUGUCUUCAAAGACAACAAAUCAUCUUUAACUGGUAGAGCUGUACUCCUUUGGCAUCUUCUAUACAUAAUAGUUAAGACUAUUAGUACUAGGACAAUACCAAUUGUUGGUAAACCAUACCUAAAAGCAUGCAAUAUAAUCAUUUGGGAGUUUUUGUGGAUGUCAUUUUUGCAAGGUGGGACUAGCAAUCUAGGUGGACCACAAAGUGCACAAUUAUUCAUGAAUGAUGUGCUAGAAAAGUUUGAAAAACAUCCUUUGCUGGGAAUUUCCCCUUCAAGUCUAUUGAAAGACACAUUAAAAUACUUUAGAUAUAAAAGCUUUUCCAAAGAUUUGGGAAUGACUCCAGAGAGAUUGUUAUUGCAUAAAUCCAAGAAUUCCAAACUAAUCAACCCAUCAAAUGAUUCAGGGAUAUGACCAUGUAGUAUAUUAUUUGAUAAAUCUAAUGAAACCAAAGUUUGAAGACCCCCAAAUGUGGAUAAGAUAUCGCCCAUGAGAAGAUUCCUUGAUAAAUUUAGUCUCAGUAGACUCCUAAAGUUUCCAACAUCAAUAGCAUGCGAAUUGUGAAGAUGGUUUGAUGAUAAAUCUAUUUCUAAGAUAUCUUUAAGAUUCCAUAAAGUUGAGGGUAUUGCGGAACUCAAUUUGUUGGAAUCUAACCAAAGAUAUCUCAAAGCAGAAAUAUUACCUAAACAAGAGGGUAUGGAUCCAUGCAGCUUAUUCAACCCUAAAUACAUCUUGAAUAGUCUCUCCAAACCACAGAGGCUUUCUGGGAUAGGCCCUUCUAAUUUAUUAGAGGAAAGAAAUAGACCUUGGAGAUUUAUCAUUCCUCCUAUUGAUGCUGGAAUCAAUCCACUUAAUUUAUUAUAGCCAAGUUGUAAAACCAACAUGUUGCUUAAGUUACCUAUUUCCAUAGGAAUAAUGCCUUGAAGCUCACACUCUGUGGCACGAAAGUAUUGAAGGGAUUUUGAAAGGUUCCCGAAAUAAGUAGGAAGAACGCCACUCAAUGGAUUUCCUGAAACAAUUAUUCUUUUCAAAUGCUUGCAAUUCGUCAAAGAAGAAAGAAAGCUCCACUCAUGAUCAGUAGCAGAUCCUGUGAUCAAAUUAUUGUUUACGAUUCCGAACCAUUCAAGGUGUCUUAAGCUGCCAAGCAUUUUAGGGAUUGGGCCAGAGAAUAAGUUUUCUGACAAGGAUAGAAUCUUAAGCAUGGAAGCAUUGGAGAUAGAGUUGGGAAUGUUUCCGCUAAGUUUAUUUCCCCACAGUAAAAGAAUCUGAAGCUUUGGAGCAUUGGUAAUGGGUGGUAAAUUACCUGUAAAAUAGCAUCUUUUAGAAAACAUAUUCAUUGAAUACCAAAUUCACAAAAUAUAUAAUACAUUAAAAUAAAAACUGUAAAACUUUAAAUCAAUUAAGAAUAAAAUUUUGGCAUGGAAAAAUGUGAUGAAAUCAAUUAGAAAGUUGAGACAUAAUAAGAAGUUUUGAGUAGUAAUUAGUCCUUGUGAUUUGUAUAGACAAAACAUAUAAUACACUGAUAAUUUUUUUAAAAUAUUGUAAAACCUGAAAUAAAAUAAAAAAUAAAAGUUUGGCACAAGAAUGUGGCAUCUAAUCAUUCUUAAAAAUAAGACUAACAUUAAAUAAUAAUUAGUUAUGAUUUGAGAAACAAAAAUGUUAAAGAUGUAAACUGGUAUGAUUUUUAUCUAUUGGGUUAAUUAUUUAUUUUUAUUAAAUUAUAUAUAGUGUAAAAUUUAAAGAUUAUUAUUUGCUCAAAAUUUUUGUAUUUUUCGUAUAUUUGAAAUUUAAUCUUUAUAUUUUUUUAUUUUCUGUGAUUUAGUCUCUCUACUUUUUAAAUUGAAAAUUUUAAGUUUAUUUAUUAACACUGUUAAAAAGUUUUUGUGUUAGUAUGGCAUUUUGAAAAAUAAAAUAAACUUGAUAUCUAUGUUUUUAAUUAUUCCAAAUACUGUUUUACUAUUCCAAGAUAAAUUAUUUGUGUCUAGACCAAUAUCUGAAGAACUAUUGUUGCAUGUUUAAUUAUUCUAAAGAAUUGUUGAUUGAGUCUUAGUUGAAGUGCACUAUUCUCCUAUUUAUGAAUUGGGGAGUUGAUAAAGUACUAAAUUUUGAUAUAUUUUAAAAAAUUAAAAAUUUAUUAAAAUAUUUUUAUAAAAAUUGAUUGUACCAAAAUAUACAAUUUUAAUAUCAAAUUUUUAAUUUUUUAAAAAUAUUAGCGAAUAUAUACUUUAUUUCAAGUUACACAAUUUUUACUAGUUUUUAACUUUUUUUUUAAAUUUUUAUCGUCUUUUAUAAUUUCAUAUAAUUUUUUAUAAUUUUUUACAAUAUUUACAAUUUCUAACAAUUUUUAAUAAUUUUAUUAUUUAUUAUAAAUUUAAAAAUUAACAAAUUUUUAUUUUUUUAAAACAAUUAUAUAUUUAUAAUGUAGUUAUUUUUUUAUAAUUUUUUUUGAAAUUUAAAGAUUUUUUUGGUUUUUUCUAGAUGAUGAUGCCAUCAUGAUGUCAUCAUAUGCCACAUGGCAAUUUAUAAUUAGUUGACUAUCUCAAUCUAUUUUUUUAACGUCCAAUGGACUAAAACAAGAACACCUGAUAAUGUUAGAGACUACACUAGGAAUGUUUGAUAAUAUUAGGUACUAAAGUGGGCAAAAAAAAUUAAGGACUAUAUUAAAAAUAUAUCUAUAAUAUAUAUAAAUGCAUGGAUUUUGAGAAACUUUUGAAAUGACAAAUAUAUAGUCUUUGUUUUUUUUUACUAUAUUAUUGAAUUUUUUAUUUUAAAUAUUUUUUUAUUACUUUUAAGAUUUAUCAUAUGUAUGGAUAAAAAUUUUGGUUUUACUAAAAUAUUUGGUUAAAUAAAUUCACUUUAUAAAAAAAUUUAGCAUCCUUAUAAAUAACAAUUUUGAUUCCAUUAAAAAAAUUAUUUAAUAAUAUAUAAUAAAAAUUUAAAAUUUAUAUUGAAUCACUUUAUACUUAAAUUAUUAUUAGAAACUUUAUCAUACACAUAUGUGUAUGAGAACCACGUUUUCAGAACUUAAAUUUGUGUUCUAAAAUAACUUAUGAUAAAUAAUUAAAUGUAUAAUUUGAAAUUAUAUUGAAAUAAAAAUAGAUUAAAUUGUAAGUAAAACAUAUAUAAUUUAAACAUAUGAAUACAUCAAAUUAAAAAUACUAAAUGAAUACAUUUAUUUAUGAUGAUGUUGUUGUCAAUUCAUAAGUUGGUGUCGAGUUAAUUUGUGACAUCAUAAUUUUAAGUGAUAAAUUUAAGGUUUUAUGUAUUGAUGUCGAUUCAAAUAUCACCAUAAUUUUUUUAAAUAAAAAACUAAAGCACCCUCAAAUAAUAUAACUUAUAUUAAAUAUGAAAGGGUAUUUUUGUAAUUUCUCUAACGAGUUGGUGCCCGGUUGACUCAUGACACCAACUCAAUCAAAAGCUUCAAUAAUAAUAUAGAUAUUCACGUUUAAAAAAAGUACUUUAGUUCGAAAUAAUUAUAUAACAAGUAAUUUUAUAAUUGAUGAAUAAUUUUAUAAAAAUAUAUUUAUAUAAUCUAAUAUAUUAUAUUUAUAUUAAUUAUAUAUCAUCUACAAACUUUGAAGAUCAAUUUAUUAAGUAUCAGGAAAAGAAAAAAUGAAAUUGAAUUAACACUAAAUCAAUUUUUAGAUUUUGUACAGAUGAUUUAAUGAUGAUAAAAACAUUAUUAGCACUAUUUUUGAAUUAACAAAAAAUUAGUGAUAUAUUUUAAUUAUAUUUUUUAUUUUUUAUUUUUAAUAAUAUUUUUUUAAUUAUAUGAAGUAAAAUUAUAUUGUAUACUAAAUAUGGUACAUAUACUUUAAUUAAAACUUGAAAAAUUAUUAUAUAAAUUAAUAUAUUUUAAUUAUAUUCAACCAUUUGAAUAACAAAAUUAAAAAAAACUAAUUAGAAUUAUUUACUUUUUAAAGUUUAAUGGAAAAUAAAAAAUUAAAAAUAAAUCAAUUCAUAUAAAUCUUAUUGUUUAUUAUCAGAUUAAAAUGAUAAAAGUAUAUGACAUACAUAGAAGAAACAAAUUCAACACAAUGUUUUUGGAGUUUGGAAAAAAUUAAAGUGAAAAACAUACCUUCUAAUUUGUUGUUAAAUAGAUCUAUUUCUUCGAGCGUAGUUGAAUUAAAAAUACUUGAUGGAAUCUGACCUGCACACAUAGUCGAAAAUUGAAGUGAAAUCAAACUCUUUUGUGAAAAAAAUAUUACCAGAUAAUUCAUUCCAACCCAGGUAAAGCCCUUCAAGCUUGGGAAGAUGUUGACACAUAUCAUUAAGCAAACUACCUGAUAGGCUAUUGUUGGAGAGAUCAAUGGUCUUCAGAGAAGAAAUGUUGAAGAUCGAAGUUGGAAUCUGACCUGUAAGGCCUUUAAUUGCUUUAAUACUAAGCAUCUCCAAACCAAGAAGAUUACCGAUUUCCUCGGGAAUUUGACCUGCACACAUAGUCAAAAAAUCAAGGUGUCAAACUAUCUAUUUUGUUAGCAUAAGUCAAAGAGGUUUUCUUUUCUGUUCUACAGUAAUUUGAAGAUGUUAGAUUUUAAUAUAUUUCAGCAUAUGUUUUUCAUCAAAUGAAAUAAAAAGUUUUUCCUUUUUAUUAUCUAUUACAAGUCAAACUCUUUUAUAAAAAAAAAUACUUUAAAUUCAAGAAAUCAAGGAAAUUGAUUACCUUCUAGAUUAUUAAACCGCAAAUAUAAUUCCAGGAGUCGUGUUAGAUUUCCAAUACUUCUUGGAAUGAUCCCCGUCAAUUGAUUCAAGGACAAGGACAAAUUUUUAAGGUUGCUGCAUUUUCCCAUACUUGACGGAAUGUUACCAGAUAACUCGUUGCUAUGCAAGUAAAGCACUUCAAGCUUGGGAAGAUGUUGACACAUAUCAUUAGGCAAACUACCUGAUAGGCUAUUGUUGGAGAGAACAAUGGUCUUCAGAGCAGAAAUGUUGAAGAUCGAAGUUGGAAUCUGACCUGUAAGGCCUUUAAUUGCUUGAAUAUUAAGCAUUUCCAAACCAAGAAGAUUACCGAUUUCCUCAGGAAUUUGACCUGCACACAUGGUCGAAAAAUCAAGGUGUCAAACUACCUAUUUUGUUAGCAUAAGUCAAAGAGGUUUUCUUUUCUGUUCUACAGUAAUUUGAAGAUGUUAGAUUUUAAUAUAUUUCAGCAUAUGUUUUUCAUCAAAUGAAAUAAAAAGUUUUUCCUUUUUAUUAUCUAUUACAAGUCAAACUCUUUUAUAAAAAAAAUACUUUAAAUUCAAGAAAUCAAGGAAAUUGAUUACCUUCUAGAUUAUUAAACCCCAAAUAUAAUUCCAGGAGUCGUGUUAGAUUUCCAAUACUUCUUGGAAUGAUCCCCGUCAAUUGAUUCAAGGACAAGGACAAAUUUUUAAGGUUGCUGCAUUUUCCCAUACUUGACGGAAUGUUACUAGAUAACUCGUUGCUAUGCAAGUAAAGCACUUCAAGCUUGGGAAGAUGUUGACACAUAUCAUUAGGCAAACUAUCUGAUAGGCUAUUGUUGGAGAGAACAAUGGUCUUCAGAGCAGAAAUGUUGAAGAUCGAAGUUGGAAUCUGACCUGUAAGGCCUUUAAUUGCUUGAAUAUUAAGCAUUUCCAAACCAAGAAGAUUACCGAUUUCCUCAGGAAUUUGACCUGCACACAUGGUCGAAAAAUCAAGGUGUCAAACUACCUAUUUUGUUAGCAUAAGUCAAAGAGGUUUUCUUUUCUGUUCUACAGUAAUUUGAAGAUGUUAGAUUUUAAUAUAUUUCAGCAUAUGUUUUUCAUCAAAUGAAAUAAAAAGUUUUUCCUUUUUAUUAUCUAUUACAAGUCAAACUCUUUUAUAAAAAAAAUACUUUAAAUUCAAGAAAUCAAGGAAAUUGAUUACCUUCUAGAUUAUUAAACCCCAAAUAUAAUUCCAGGAGUCGUGUUAGAUUUCCAAUACUUCUUGGAAUGAUCCCC